UUUUUUUUUUUGUAACACACAUGCGGUUGGCGCGAAAGGGACCGUAGCCGCGUCUCCCACCACUGCUGCUCUCGAUCACAUUUUACACGAGAGAGAGACAGAGCCCACUGAUGAGGUGAGGAGUCAGCUAGCCCCGCCCGGACGACAUCAGAAUCAGAUCAGAUGGGAGCUAGUGGAGCGAAUCACUCGAUCAGGGCGAAAGUAUCUGUAUGCAUUCACGGAAAAAACGGCUCGAGUGGCACCGAAACGGUUGAUAUUCCUUCCUUGUCGAGAAGACAAGGGAUUUAUCUGUGUGUUCUUAUUGCUGCUAGCUGAAUGAUCGAUGUGAUCCAAGAUGCUUGUGGUUCCAAGAAGAGGAAACAGAAUGGCGCUGAUGAUCGAGACAGCUAGCUCAGCCCAGCCCCGGCCCGUACGUGACGACGAUGCCUCGACCUCGAUCGAUCGAUUUCAUUUCGGCGCGAUAAUAAGAUGCACGCACGCAUGUGUGGCUGCCAUGCGUUGAUCUGGAAGCUGCGCGCGCGGCAUGCAUGAUGCAUGUCCGUCGUCCAUGUGCUUAUAUAUUCUUAUAAUUAGUAGUACAAUGAUACUACCCCCGAACGUAUCCAUAGCCUGCUAGGGUGCAAACCGGUGAUCAUUAAAUGCAUCUCCAACUUUUUUUAUUUAAAUUUUUGUUCUACUUUUUCAAAAUAAAAUCUAAUUUUAAAAGAUUAGCAGAAUAUUUAAAUUAAAACGGAUUGGAGGUGCACCCCACGUGGUCCUGCCUGGAUCAGCGACCGAGCAGCGCGGACAGUGCAAUGUAACCCGGUGAUGCGGUGCCGUACGAUCGACAGCCACGUGAUAUAUGGAUCCCUGCUGCAUCUCUGUGCUGGUUGGUGGAGUGAGUCAACUGAUCUGGAAUUUGGCAUCCAUUUCUCUCUGCAUACAAAGCAACUCUCUCUCCUCUUGGAGACUUCCCGCGAGUUGAUCGCCAUCGUAGAGCUAAAGUAGCUGCAAAUAAUUCGCCUGAUUUUCGCUGCCAUGCUGACGCGUACUCCAACAACUAAGAUCAGCCUGACUUCCUUCUGAACCGAGCUUAAGUUGCACGGAGCUUUCGAUCUUUCAAACCAAAGACCCCAACCUAGUGCAGUCGCGCGCCGGUCAGUCGUCCCGGUCAGGGCGAUUUACACGGGGGAUGAUGCUGCUGGCUGCUGCCGCUUGCCUGCCAGCGUCAGUCUCGAGUCCAAGUCUCGGCUCCGGUCGGUCGGCCAACCACAUGCGCCCGGGGACGAUGGGAUCGCUUCAGCUGCUGCUGCUAGUGGCGGUCUCCGCAGCUGCUGUCUGAAAAAUCAGCUUUAUCGUUCAAAGAAAAAAAAAUCAGCUUCUGCGUCAGACCGUGAGCAUCGACUGACCCCAUGCUUUUCGUAAAGGAUGCACGAUUCGGACCAGCGCAGUGCUCCGUUUGGAACUGAACAGGUGGAAGAUGUUCGACUUUCCGUGUGUAAUUUGCACGGAAACGCCCGUCAGGUCGCGUAUGGAUUGUCUCAACAGCUUCUUUUCAGCUCUGGGUAUUUCAUCUGCAGAUUGCUUGCAAUUUCUCGAGCAUUUCAAUCUCUGCUUGACAACUACUACAUUAUACUACAACACUGCUGGUUAUUGCGUACGAUGGGAGCUGGUUUGACCUUUUGUAAGUAGUAUUCAAGUCUUCUUUGUUUGAACAGUUGUUGGGCAACCUUUUCUCUUACGCGCCGUUUGGAACGAAGGAAGUUUACUGGGAUCUCCCUGUGAGCUUCACGUAAAAUUCAGGGUUAUGAUCAGUGACUUGAUGAUGACACAAUGCCUUUUGUUUUGAUCUGGUACGGGUAGGAAUAGGAUUGGAAAAGGUGGAUGAUGCCGUCCAUGGCAGAGGAUGGUCCUAUCUUAUUACCUCUGUCCCUAAUAUAAGUUCGUUCGCUUAAGCUUCUUGUUGUCGAAGUUGUAAACUCUGACCAUCAUCAGUAUCUAAGGAAUCGUUCCAAAAAAAAAUAUAUAAGAAAUCAUAUUAGAUUGAUAACAUAAUAAGUAAAACCUACACACUAAGAUUUUCUCUCUCUUUCUUCAAGUGACCGAGAGUUUCUGCUAUUCUCUACACUUUGCAAUUCAGUUGCAGCGUUGUGACAUAAUUAAAGUAGUUGCAAAACAAAAAUAAAGAUUUCUAACUCCAUGGAAAAUAGUUACAGGCCAUAGCCUCCUGGUCAUAGAUAGUGCUCCUCAAAGAGGCUCCUCCAUUUUCAUCAGCUGGAAGUGCGGCGUCAGCGAACACGCCGAUGUUUGGGCGCGCGGGCAGGCCACCAUCACCAUCUGCCCCGAUAGUGCGCGAGCCUGUCAUGGGGGACGUCCAGCCAGUUACGGUGAGCUAAACGCCUAGGGUUCAACCUGCCCGGCGCUCGAUCGAUCAGCGGGGUGGGUUCUGAUCCGAUCCAAAGACACAGGCGCCAUCCUCCGCGGAUCAUGCCUCGUCCUCGGACAACACCGGACGCUCGUGCGCACGUGCCGAGCUGUCCGGUGAUGCACGCACAUACGCUGCUCCGGGCGGGGGACAUGCCACCUCCACUGGCAAAAUCCCAGUGCCUGCCGGCCGGCGACGGUGGUGAUUCCCUCGGGUGAUGGGACCCUGAUGAUGACGCAAUCGCCGGUGUGACGUCUCGCGCGUCAUGUGCUGAGUGUGUGCUAAUCCAUCUCGCCCUAUCUACUACCAGCAACAAAGGGCUAAUCGAUUAAUUCGACCAAUCAACUGGCCUGGUCAUCAGCUGUGGUGCAUCCUUGUUUGCAAAAUUUUCUAGUCGUUACUCCGCCGCCUAGCUACUGACCACAUAGCUUGCGGACAAGAACACAUGACCUCAGAACCAGGCGCGCGCGGGAAUUAAAUUAACUAAUAACUUGUCGCGUACAAGCAAACGACAGCGGCAGUUAACCAGUGCUGGUCGCCAGUGCAAUCAACGACGACGAGCUGAUCACGAGUCACGACGGAUCGACGGAGACGGCUGUACGGGAGCGAGACGGAGAGCACGCCGGGGUCAAAACCAUGCGAGAGGCGGUGGACGGCGACCGCAGGGGGGUCGCCAGUAUGGUUGCCGUUGCCGACGACGAGCCUGUCGAUCGGUUCGUUCUUGUUGCGACGCGCGGGUCGGAGAGGAAUCCUUGGCCGCACGCAUCUGCAAAGGGGCAGGCAGCUCUGCUGGUGAGGUGGAUUGACUAUUGCCGCAGGGAUUAGUAUGAGAAAAUGGCGGCCAAGGAAAGAUAGUAUACUAACGCUCUCGUAACGUGGCCUUGCAGAUUCAUACUGGUCGGGGGCUGUGACCGUGGCUGGCAGGGCCCAUGCGUGUGACACCGGCGGCGAGGGGUCCGUGUUGUUCAGACGGUGAUCGGAGGCGGUGUUCAGACGGACGGGUAGAUCUGUCGAUCAUGGGCUCUAAUUUGGAGUCCAGAAGCCAGCAGUGCUUCUAGGCGCCUGGUCAGCAGUCUUGCAGCUUGGCGAAUGGCGACGGUAGUAGCUAGACAGGCAGUCCGGUCCGGUCUCCGGUGUUUUUCCAUGUCUGGUAGUACGAACGAGCAGGCGCGUCGCGCUGCCCUCCUGCUCCUGCUGGUCCGCAGCUGAGGUCGCCGUCGCGGGUGCGUCGCUGCCUGCCGCGAGACGACGACUCCGACGACGGGACGCGGGCAGAUAUUUAUUUUCCUUUUUUUUGAGAGGUUUCUUUUCCUUUUUUGAUGAGACGCCGCGUAAGUCACGAGGCGAGGAGCCCCAGAUCUGAGCGAAGUGGCCAGAAAUUCCUAUAUGGGCCAAUUGCACUUUGAUCUUUGGGGAAGGAGGAUGGGCUGUUUUGCUGUUCUGCUUUCUAUCGAAUAAAAGAGGCCCGACUAUCUACCAAGUGUGGGCCUUUUUUAUUCCCAGGCCCCUUGAGUUCUUGUGUUCACCGGAGACGGAGCCCAACAACGCUCAGCACAAAGAGGUGCGUCCGUGCAUGACACGCUCAGCACAAGCCUGAAGGCGCGCUAAAGAUCACCAACUCAAAAGGAAAUCAAGUUUUUACUAGCACAGGCAGCUCCCCACCAGCACGAACGUUUCACUGUAAUGCAGAGCUGCAGCUGAUCGUGCCAAGGCCGGUCAGGAUUGCCGGUUGCGUACCGAGUGUUAGAGGACCAGAGCCCGUCAUGACCGGCAGCAGUGGUCAUAGGACACGUACGGCGCACGGUUUGCGGCGCCCGUGCUCGUAGCUGACGGGCACGCGCUGUGCCCGAGGAGAGGGACGAGGAGGAAGCGACACGUAAGCGGCGGUUACACGAGUUGAGCAAGUGGUGGGGCCGUGGGAGCUACGAAUGAGGAGCCCCCUUAAACCGCCCCGAGGAAUCCUAGACAAGAAUUUUCAGGUAAACCAGAAAAGGGAGAGAAAAAAAGAAACAGGGGCCGCCGCAUCCACCGUCCAUCUCUCAGCGCGGUCAGAUCGUUGGUAGCCGCCGAAAUAGGCAGCUGCUAAUUGCCCCAGUUGCAAUGCAGCCCUUGACAUGCUCCAAAAUUACGUCGCCGAGAAGAGCUUCGCUGCGAAGAAAACCGAUUUGGCGUGGAGCCUGUGUAAUCGUUUCCCGUCUUCAUCGUCUAAUGUAGCCAAUCUGCCAAUGUCAUGACGUGUCGCGACAUGUACCUUUACAUACAGGACCUCGCAAAGAUAAAGAUGGAUAAUGAUUUCAGUGGCAAUCUACAGAUGGUUUAGAUAUGCUGGAGGAGUUUGAGUAGGAGGUGAACAAAUUAAGGGGAUCACUGUGCAAAAUGGGCAUGAAAACCGGCGGGAGAGAAUGGCUGGCGGUUAGGAGCGAGUGGGGACGCCGCCUCCCUCUUUUUAAGGGGCAGUUACUGCUAAAUCACUGCGCCUGUUUAUACUCGAGCCGCCGCCUCGUCCUCCUCUUCCUCCUCCCCCUUGACUCCCUGUCCUGCGGUCUUUCCCUGGGCAGUUGAGCUACGAUUCACCCGCAGCGAGACACCAGCAUCGAGUAGGGAGAGGCAGCGAAGCAACAACCCCCGGCCAUGGCGCUCAGCUUCCACCCGACAACCGCCCCGCUGUUCGGCCACCUCCCCGCCGCGGACAUGAGCUUCCUCCAGGACGUCCACCCCGAGAUCACCGACGCGCUGCUCGGCUUCGUCUACGACCCGCUCGACCCCGCCAACGCCGCGCUCGACGACCUCCUCGACCUCCCGCCCCACGACGACGCCGCAUUCCUCAGGCCAAUCCACGGCGACGGCGACGCCAAGGUCGAGCGGCAUUGCGCGAAGAGGCAGCGCGCCUGCGGCCACGACGCGUGGCGCGGCCUUGCGCGCAUUGACUCCGGCCAGCAGAGCAAUGGCGGCGGCAACCGGCAGGUGCCGGCGCUGCCGGAGCUCCCUAACGAGUUCGUCCUGGCACUGCCACCGCCGCCACCCCCGGCCCCGCCGCAGCUCCCGGAGCCCGCCGCGUACGCGAAGAAGGCCACGGGCAACGUGUCCCAGUCCGUGCAGAGCGCCGCGGCGAGGCAGCGCCGGAAGCGGAUCAGCGAGAAGACGGCCGAGCUGUCGCGGCUGAUCCCCGGCGGCCACAAGAUGAACACCGCCGAGAUGCUGGAGGAGGCCGCCCGCCACGUGAAGCUCCUGCAGGCCCAGGUCGGCGUGCUCGCCCUCAUGCGCACCGUCGGCUCAAUCGAGGUAAGCCAUCGAUCUCGAAAUUCACUAUCGAUGUUCGAAUUCGUUCAGCGCAUGCAUUUCACAGAGUCACCAACAAUUCCUGUCCUUGCAUCCUUGCUGCGUGCAGAAUGAAAAGGCGCCAUCCAUGGCGCAGGAGCAAAUGCACGCGCUGCUGGUGCGCGGCAGCGUGCAGGAGCGGCUGGCCGCGGAGGGCAAGUGCCUGGUGCCGAGAAAGCUGGUGGACGCCGUGGCCAGGGACAGCUCCGUCAAGUCCAACGCGCUGGUGAGCAGGGACCUCGGUCGGUUCGUGGCGUCGCUGCAGGCGGGCCAGUAGGAAGAAGACGGAGUCGGCCGAACCGGUCUUGUCAAGGCCGCCGCCUGCACCGGCGCGCGCACGGCUGUCCCUUUUUGAGAACGCCGUGGCGGGCGCCGCUGCUGUUGUGUGUGUGUGUUCCUGACCCCUGACCUGACGACGUUAGUCGAUAGCUGAUCCGUAUACUGAUUGGGUGAUGGCCAUGUUUAAUUUUGGGCUGUUUAAUUACCUCUGUGUUCAUGAACGCUGGUGUUUAUGACGGCGCAUUUAAUUUCCCAUUGAUCAGUUUAAUUUGCGCUGUGAAUUUACAUGCCCCCAUUAGGGAUAGAGAGAGAGAGAGCAUCACAGUAGGUGGUGUUAAGAUUCUCGAUAGGUUAAUUUGGAGACUUCAUGUGUUGCAGCUUGCUCUUCCUUUCAAUAAAAUAAAGUUUUGCAUGGUAAAAAAACACGAUGCCUUGUCACCAUGAUUGUGUUUCAUAUUCUGAUCAACUGAACGUAUAUGGUCCAACAAUUCGUUGCAUUUAGCUGAUUGUUACAGCUGGCCGCUUUUAGCAAGCGAGGAAACUUAAGUUCUGUACGGCACGGCACUGUGCACAAUGGCUUGGCUCUAGCCUCUAGGCGAUGCCAUGCAACCGCCUCGCUCGACACGAUCCUCGGCCAUGCACGCCAUGCACGGGCGUGACCUGGUCUCGCGCAACCGCCGCUGACUUUUCUUCUUGGAAACCUCCUCGCUGGCCUGCGUGGGUCAAUAGUUUAAAAGGGCUGAAAUACUGGCAGGCCAGAUUGGGCUGUUCGCUAAGCAACCGUUGCCGGCCCAAGGUGCCGCCGCCGCCACGGCGCCACCACUUCUCCAGUCCAAUGGGCCUGCUCGCAGGGCCGCCGCCUCCGACCCACGUGGCAGCCCAUCCGUCCGUUCAUCUCGGCCCUCGCGACCUAGGGUUUCGUCGGCGUGCCGACGGAGCCGUAUAUAAAUGGGAGGCGCUGCAACGCAUCCCUUCCAUGUCGCCACCACGGUCCAAGCUUGCGCUGCGGCUGCGUUUCUCGUCGGCUUCGCACAGCUCGGCUUCUCUCUUCUGUUGAUUUCGUUUUUUGUUUCGUUCCGUUUGUUCUCUUCGUCUUUUGAUCCGUUGCGGCGAACCCGAAUGUUGUUUUGAGGUGAUGAUCCUUUCCCCAAAUUAUCGACUAUGAUUAUACUGUGCGAUUUUCGAGUUUUUCUCUUCGGAGAAGACUCUAAGCCAGAUGUUCUGAUCAAAACAAUGCAGUUGUCUCUUCAUGCAGAUCGGAAACUUAUUUUUGGAACUAUUUUUUUCUUGAUUAAUAUGUUUAAAGAUUAAGAAAUUCAGAUGGAAGUGAGGAUCCUUUCCCCAGCUGAUCGACUAUGAUUAUACUGUGCGCACAUGUAAUCCCUCCUCUGCGGAGGAGGAUUCAAGCCAGAAAUCUGAUCCAUCUAGCAUUCUUAAAUCUCCUUCUCUGAACAAAGGUUUCUCUUUCUUAAACCCUUUUUUCCCUUCUUUUUCUCAUUGGAAUAAUAUUUUUCUUGGUGAAUUGAGAUAUUUAUUGGAAGUGAGGAUCCUUUCCCCAGAUGAUCGACUUUGAUUAUACUGUGCGCAGUUGUGAUGCCUUCUCUUCGGAGGAGGGAUUCCAAGCCAGACAUCUGAUCCAUUUGACAUUCUCUUUCAACUGUUUUUCUUCAUCUUUGUUGGUUUAUUGCGCGCCACUCCUGAAGAUUUUGUGAAACAUCUUAUGUAAUGGAAGUGGACAUUAAAACUGAUCUUAAAAACCAGACCGGCGCGACGAUAAUCCGACCGCACUAUCUGAGAUGUAUCCGAAGUACCCUAAAGAGAAAAAGCAGGCCGCUGUGCUCUCUACUAGCAGUGCCCCCGUAAACUUUAGGAACAUCAUUGUUCAUCGUUAUUGGGUGAACCUUCGGACUCGUUCUUGUGUUGGACGAUCCUGUCCAUUGGUUCAGUAAAUGAUGGCACAUUUUUUAAAAGAUUUUUAAGAUGGAUAUUUUUUUGAGAAGCAGAAGAUACAAAAGAAUCUGGUCUCUUGAUCUUCCGCUCAUCUGCUGAAUGAGCACAUAGGCCAUGCUGUGCCUUCCAACGCCGUAUGAAGUUCUGCUGGGCCGUGCAUGCGCUUGUAAAUUUUAUUUCUCAAGAAAACAGAGAGUAUGAGGCCUGCUUGCAAUUCCGCAAUUGAAUCGAAUAAGUCUCAGCAAACUGGAAAAAAAAAGUUUAUUUUGGCACUCUCAUCCUUCACAAAAGUUUUGCUCUCUCAGUUGCAAUACCAGAUCUUGUAACUCCUUGAGCUUAUGUUGCCGGUUAUUUUUACUCCAAGGCAUGCUGGUUUGCUCGAAGUGUCAACAUCACCAUAUUCUUCCGAGGAGAAAAGUAAAAUGAUAUAGAUGUUUGUUUUUAUUAUGCUUAUUUGGAUUAUAAAACUCUUUUUUAAUAUAAAUUUGACAACAUAUUGUACGAAUAUUUAGUGUGUGAAAGUUACAUUGAUAGAUUACUUCAUCUUUCAAUAUGCAUUGAUUUCUUGUAAUAGUUCAUGAUCAAAAGUAUAUCCAUAAAUAUUUCUUAAAAUUCUAAUACAACUAUAAAAAAAAUGAAGGAUGACAAAAUUGCCCCGUUAGCCUUCUUCCUCCCUGAUCCUAACUCCUUCCCCUCGAUUAGCAGCCGUAGCUCCUGUGCAGCCUCCUGCCACUACCCUCAACGCCAAGCUCGGCUGUGGCAGCCAGCCAAGUCGUAGCAAUAGCGUCCAGGGACAAACGAUCUUCUUCCUCCGUUCAUCGUUCAUGGCCGUGCAUAAAGCGUUGGCCGGCCAGCCACGAGCCCACGACCUUUGCUACAUCUGUUUUUUCUAAAAAGGGGAUUAAAAAAAAAUUCGAAAAAGGGGUGCCAGUUGGAGAAAUUUAGAGAAAUGGGUGCCUCCCGCCCGCUGAACGGGCGGAAAGGAGCCUCCCGCCCAACCAUAGGGCGGGAGGCUCAAAAAAAUUUCCAGGGACCUCUUCUUUUUUUAUUCGCGAAGAGGUCCCUGAAGCAGGCCUCCCGCCCGGCCAGUAGGCGGGAUGCCUCCCGCCGGCCAGUGGGCGGGAUGCCUACCGCCCGGCCAGUGGGCGGGAUGCUCCUGCUCCAUUUUUAUUAUAUUUUUUCUUAGAUUUUUUGUUUCAGAAACUACUUGAAAUUCAGAAUUUUUUCAAAUAUAAGAUUUAUUCGCCAUACUCUUAUGUAUGCAUAUAAAAUUUUAAUUCAAUUUUACGAAGAAGAUUACGGUAUCUAAAACUCGUACGAAGAUAGUUAAACGAUAACGUUUGCAACGUAGAAUCUAAAUAUUACGAUAGUACAAUACAUGAAGCCAUUAAAAAUAAAAUAAUAUGAUAAUGAACAUUACAAAUAUUACAAAUACAUGAAUCCAAAUAUUGUGUCUUCAGUCAAUGCGGCAAAUAUUACAAAUACGUAUCCAGGUCUGAUAGAAUCUCAACGCAGCAAAUAUUACAUAUGAGCAAACAACGUUUAAAUAAAAUUACAACUAAAUGAUGCCUGAUGACGUACUAACACUCGAUCGGCGACGUCUCCCACUUCUUGAUGCAACCGGAGGUCUUCCAUCUGUAGCGACACCUGUAGGGCCAGCUUCAGCACAACUAGGGCCAGCAUCAUUGGUUGUACAACGUUUAUACGUGUGUCCAAUCUAAUUACAUGCACUGCAGCGUUGUAUCCUCGGACGGAGCUCUGACUCAUCCAUAUCAUUACGAAUACGCCGUGACUGACGGCGCCCUCUCUUAACCCGUGAUGAUCUUGGGUCUGGAAUAUAUAUAACAGGAUUCGCUGUCUCAGUGAACGAUCCAACCAAACGGAACCCAUAGAUCUCAUACUGCCAGAUGCUAGCAAUUGUCUCCUUUCUGAAGUAAUGUGAAACAUAUAUAUCGACAGGAUGUCCAAUAUCCGUACAAGCAGCCAUUACAUGAGAACAAGGUAAGUGCAGCAACUUGGGCCUCAUGCAUGAGCAACAACAACUUCCAUCAAACUUGAGAAUGCACUCCUUUACAGGAGUUUGACGUCUCAUGCCAUGUCGCGCCCUGUCUUUAGGAGAUACCUCAAACUUGAGCUCCUGUGUUCCACAUUGCCGUACAUGGUGUAGCCGGGCGCUUUCUGCCUUCUUAGUCAUAUAUUCUGUUACCUUGAAUCCAAAAUUUCUGUCUGGAUCUCGCAUGAAUACCUGAUUUUUAGUGAACCGCUCCCAAAAGUAAUCUGUACACCCGCGGACAAUGAAUUCAACAAUUGCAACCAGUGGAAGCCCACGAACACCUCUGCUUCAUCCUGUGCAGUUAUGUUUUUUGAUGCGUCCUCGGCUCUUUUCUUCCCGGUCAGUUCAUCAAGUUUCUGCCACUGCUUGUUAAAUUUUUGCUGAUUCGUUAAUGCAUGGACCCAAGCUGAAAAAGACCCGCUGCAAUGUGUGGGGCGGACCUUCUCCUCUGUCUAGAGUUUUCAGGUCAUAGUAGCUUUCAGGAUUUCUCUGACAUAGGACAGCCAGCAUUCGAGGAACAUUAUCAUAUGCAGUCUCGAACGUACCAAACCUCAUCUCCAACACCUUGCUGUAUGAGAUGGUAUACUUGUACUUUUCUUGAUUCUACCUGAUAAUAGACUUUGGUUCAUAUGACAAGUUCUCUACUAUCGUCCCGUACAUCUCAUUUGCGAUGUAUUGCGACGUGAGGUUGCGAUGGCUCUUCUGCACCCCAGGCAAAUGACAAGUGUGCUGAGUGACAAUGGAGCAUUCCCAAUAAUCUUUCCAUUUACCCUUGUAGGCAUGCACCCGCCAUGGACAGCCAUCCUUCACACAUACCACAUCGUACUUACGAGAUUUGCACUCGACUGUCUUAAACUCUCGCAUAAGAGAGAGAGACCAGCACUUAACAGCUUCCUUCACCUCUUCAAUUGAGUGGUACCUUGCACCCUGGAUAAUUUCAUUCUCCCUGCAAUCCGAAGGCCAGCUACAUCCGUCAUCUACGACAAGAUGACUGAAGUCGCUGCUUACCCAAUCUUGAGUCACAUCAUCGUCAUCAUCAGACGAAUCGGCAUUCAUUGCUUCAUCCAAUUCACGUUCUUCGUCUUGCCUUUAUUCAACAAUAAAGGGUAUGUUCUCCCCUCAUCAGCCACGCAUUGAGGUACUGCGGUGCCACCUGCCUCAAUGUUUGCCUCCUCAACUUCUUCAUCAAUAUUUUCAUCCCCCGGAGCAGCUUCAAUGUUUAUCAAAGGGUUUUGGUGCACACUGACAAGGAGUACCAGUGGCCACUGCCAAUGACUUGCAUUUUGCAGAUAAGUUAACCAGUCCUCGUUGCUUGCAAGUGGCAUAAGCUCCCAGAUCAAAGCGUGAGUGGUACGAUUUAUGACGCAUUGAACACUCACAGUGUGUGUCUCCUGAUUAAUCCUUAAUCCCCUCAUUAACCAGUUGCAUAGGGAUUCAAAUGUCCUCUCGUGCGGUCUGGUAAUUCCUCUGACCGCACAGUUGAAUUCACUUAAAUCUACCCCAUUCGGCCCAUAAAUCACAUUUCCUUCUCCGUAAUAUAUACUGAAAAUACCCUUUUCGAAAGACAUAUCUGUCAAUCAUUAAUAAACUAGUUAUACUACAUAUUAAUGCACAACGAACGACGAUCCUAAAUUUCAGCGACUCUCAGAUUAUAUUUUACAUAUUCUAAACUAUUCAGAUUAUAAAUUAUACUAAAAACAAAUGAAAAUACUAAAAACUAUUCAAAACAUAACUAUUCUAAGAAAUAUUUCCUAAAUUAUAGUUAUUUUCAAGUACUUAUAUGGCUACAAUGAGAAUAUACCUCAAAAUCGACGUGUGGACAGGGCUUCGCCGCUUCCUCUUCUCUCUUCCUCUCCUCUCUUUCUCUUUUUUCUGAUUUUUACUGGAUAAAAUGGCAUUUUUGGGGCAGGUUGCGGCUUAUAUAGCCUGUGGGGUGACCUCCCGCCCUACCAAUAGGCGGGAUGCCCCUCAGCACAACAUCCUGCCCUUUGGUUGGGCGGGAUGCCCUCCCAGGGACCUCUUCGCGAAGAAAUUGUCUGCGAAGAGGCCCUCGGGGGACAUCCCGCCCGCAGGCGUCCCGCCCGUUCAGCGGGCGGGAGGCACCCAUUUCUCUAAAUUUUCGCAACUGGCACCCCUUUUUCGAAUUUUAGUUUUUUUAAAUCCCUUUUUUGAAAAAACCUCCAUCCGAUCAAAGGCUAUCCGACUCAACAAAACUUACACGAGCAAUGCAUCGAGUGGGCUGGGAACAAGAAUUUGGGCUCGUUGUAUUUACCGGGCUAGCUAGGUUCGGACCCGUAAUUCAACCAUGGAAGCUAAGAAAAACGCAAAUAUGAAAUACCCAGAAAAUACUAUAGGCCCAACCUCUGCUGUGCACAUGGGCUUCCUCUUAGCAUCCGAGACAAUGAACCACUGUAGCAAGAACGAUACAAGUAGACUUGUAAUCAAUCUCAAAAAAAAAGACUUGGAAUCAACACAUUCUAGACUGAAAUCUAGAAGGAGAAUUAAAGUAAACGAAGAAGGAGGGGAGCUGGAAGGGGUCAAAGUGUGCCAGAAUGCUCCGAGUAUUGACCAUCUAUUGUUUGUUGAUGAUUCAUUGUUACUCCUUAAAUCAGAUAUACGGAGUGCAAAUCAUUUGCAAAAUAUUCUUUCACUAUAUGAAAAUUGCUCGGGGCAAACCAUAAACAAAGAGAAGUCUUCGGUUAUGUUCAGUAAAAAUGCCAAGAAUACGGAUAAGCAGCAGAUGAUGGCUGCCCUUGACAUUCAGGUUGAAGCACGCAAUGAGAAGUAUUUGGGCCUUCCGGUAUACAUGGGAAAGUCAAAGGAGAAAACUUUUGCUUAUCUGAAAGAUAGAGUAUGGAAGAGAGUUCAAGGUUGGAAAGAGAAAUUAUUGUCGAAAGCUGGCAAGGAGAUAUUCAUUAAGGCAAUGGCACAAGCCAUCCUUAGCUAUGCCAUGUCUUGUUUUGAUCUGACCAAAACAUUAUGUGACGCUAUAAGCACGAUGAUCUGCCGGUUCUGGUGGGCACAGCAAGAAAAUGAGCACAAGAUGCACUGGUUGUCGAAGGAAAAAUUGCGUACCCGCAAGGAGAAUGGGGGGCUGGGUUUCAGAGAUAUGCACUUGUUUAACCUGGCUAUGCUUGCCAGGCAAGGAUGGAGGAUACUCACAAAUCCUGAUUCCCUGUGUGCUAGAGUUCUCAGGGCUAAAUAUUUCCCGGAUGGUGACCUGAUGAAUGUGCACGAGGCACCUGGUAUUUCGUACUCAUGGCGUAGUAUAGUACGUGGUGUGCAAGCACUGAAGGAGGGGCUCAUUUGGAGGGUGGGCAAUGGGAGACAAAUCAACAUCUGGCUUGACCCUUGGAUUCCAGAUGGAGUUACUAGACGGCCUGUAACACCGAGGGUUCAGACACUGCUAACGAAGGUCUCUGAAUUGAUUAAUCCAGCCACUGGAGAUUGGAGAUUGGGAUCGUCAAUUGGUUGAGGAGGUGUUCUGGGUGGAGGAUUGGAAGCGCAAGUAUACCCGUCAAGUCAGGUAUGGAUGACCUGCUUGCAUGGCAUUAUGGUAAGAAGGGUGUUUUCUCUGUAAAAUCGGCCUAUCAUACUUUGGAUGAUGUUAAAAGAAGGGAGGCAAGAAGGCAAUAUGGUGGUAGCAGUUCCAGUGCAGGAAGCUCGGGAUCAGCUCAUGGCCAAGGUGCUGGUUUUGAAUGGAAGAAGAUUUGGAGGUUAAAUUGCCCACCAAAAGUGAGACAUUUCCUCUGGCGUUUCUCACAUAACAGCUUGCCUCUUCGACGAAACAUAAGUAGGCGAGGGAUGGACAUCGACACCAGGUGCCCCGUCUGCUGGAGAUUGGAUGAGGAUGGUGGUCACUGUUUUUUCAAGUGCAAAUUUGCAAAAGAAUGCUGGAGAGCCCUGAAUUUGGAGGAUGCAAGGCAGGUUCUCAGUGGACUGUCUUCUGCUAAACAAGUAACUGAACAUGUCCUAUCUAUGCCUGAGGAAAAGAAGUUGCUGAUCGUCGGCUUACUGUGGGCGUGGUGGGAUGCACAUAAUAAAGCUAAUGUGGGCGAGCAGAGGAGGUCAACUGAUGAAAUCAUCUACAGAGCACGUUCAGUAGUACAUCAGGAGGAGGAGGCAGUAACUGAAGGGGUACAGGCAAAUGCAAGAGGCCAUGCUCAGCGAUGGAUCUCGCCACCGCCGGACGUCUGGAAGAUUAAUGUGGAUGCCGCAUUCUGGGCUGAGGAACUGGCAGGAGCCUGGGGCUUUGUUGUCCGCGAUAAUGCAACGGCAGUCCUGGGCAGGUGCAGGGCGAUUGGCAGUGGUGCGCGACGCGCUGUGUCCUGAGGCGCAUGCCUGUCUUGCAGCUCUUCAAGCAGCAGCGUCUCAAGGUAUGCAGCAUAUCAUUCUGGAGACUGAUUCCCAAGUUCUGGUGAAGGCCCUGCAGACAAAUGAACAUGAUCUGGCACAAGGAGGUGUGUUGUUCAGAGAAGCUAAGUUCACUUUGGCUACGAUGUUUAGCUCUUGGUCGAUUGUUCAUGUCUACCGCUCUGGUAAUUCUGUAGCGCAUUCGUUGGCUCGUCUUGGUCGUGACAGGGACCCGGAUCACCCGAGUGUUUGGGUGCAUCCCCUCCCAGAGUUUGUAAACAAUUUGCUUGGUCCGUGACUCUACGGCUCCCUAAAUAAAGUGACGACCGUUCCCAUAAAAAAAAAUCUAGAAGGAGAAGCUAUAAGGAUCAGCUUACAGGAUAGUCUCAUACUCUCACGUGUUACCUCACAUCUCACUCUCUCCUCUUACCCUCUCUUGUCGACUCGAUCGUUCACCUACUCAAGUUCUCCAAUUCUUUUUACUGAAUACGUAGAAAAACUGUGUAUCUUUAUAUUUAUAUUAAAAAGAAAAGAAAUUAGAAUUCAUACAACGGCAACUUGUUCGUGCCGAAAUUAUCAUGUUCUCCUAUUGAUUGAGUCGAUAUUUAGCAGUUAGCACCCACUCGUCUUGUAACGAUCCAAAUAUAAUUAUGAUGUUAACCAUUGUAUCAUAAGCAUUCUUGUUAGCAUCUAUAAAAAUAUUGUGUUCAUUUGAAUGUAUAUUAAUUUGAUUUUGAAUUAUUGAUACAUUUGGAACUCAUGCUUUGUGAAGCAACACGCUCUUUCAUUAUAGAACUUACGUUGGUAAUUCUAUUAGUAAAAUACUACUUUGUAAAACUUGAAUUUAGGUAAUUUUUCUUGGAAUUUAGGAAACCAUCUUGAAGCCAAACACAUCAGCCGAAAAUCUAAAAAUAACAUUCCAUGAAGAAUUCUAAUUUCAAAUCUACAAGAGCUUUUCUACCAAAUCCAAGCAAAAUGGAUCGCUCUUGGUUUCUAAUAUCAACAUAAAUAUUAGUGGAAUUUUUGAAGGCUUGAAAGAUCAGUUUUGAAGAUUGGAGCAAAGAAAGAAGGUACUGUACAGAAUCAACAUGUUAACUUUAUUCUUCGGACUUCCGCUUCUCUACCGCGAACUCUGCGCGAGAAGUCGUUAUGUACAUAUCCUAUAUGCAGAGAAGUUGUGCCACGCGCCCCCACCAGACCCUACCCGACCUCCAUUUCACCUGAUACCCCCUCUCCUCCCUACUGCACUCUCUCACGCAGAAACCUCCUCUCCUCUUGCUUUCUCUCCCAACCAAACUACGGAGGAAGAACUCACCUUUUCCCACUACGUAGAAACCAAAUAAAAACACCUAUUUUGUUUUUUAUGUGUGAAGGACAAGUUCAUUGAAAAAAAAGCUGCAAAUGUUGAGUGCUUGUGUUAUUGUAAAUGGUCAUAGUAGUUCGAUAAAACAAAUUAAUCGAUACAUGAUCGCCCAGUCGUGGUGGCCUCAUGUAAAGUCAACAGAAACACCAAAUAAUACUGUGCUUCACCAAAAAAAAAAAGAACACCAAAAUUUCACUAACCUAUAUGAUGUUGCUUGGAACAUUGCACUGUGUAUUUUUUUUCAAGUGAUGUCAUAUUUUGUAAAGUGUUGCUUAUGUACAACAAAGCUUCCAUCCAUUCUUCACAUGUUAACUUCUGGCCUUUACACCUGUUAUAUUGGUCAUCACCCCGCCGGAGCAUCAAGUUAAUUUGAAUGGAUACCCAUGUCUCUUCCUGUCCAUUCUAGAUGACAUAUGAAAGCUCAUAGCGGCUAGGUAGAGACAUGACAAUUGUUACAUGUUUAAUCGUAGGCGGAGGCUAUGCUUGUGACACCUUAAUGAUCACGUGCAAUACUAGGGCUAAGAAACCAAAUAAAAUACCAUAACGAAUGUACACUGCCACAUCUUCCUUCUUUUUUCAGAGAAAAAAGAAAAAGAAAAAAAAAAGGAGCCACAUGGAUCCAGUUCCCCGUAACCACACAACCAUGGGCCAGAAGAAGCUACCAGAAGAGGGCCCAGCUCAGCCCAUACCCAAAGCCCCCAAAUCCAAAGCGACCGAUCUCACUAGUCACCUCUCCAUUCGCCCGACCACACGCCGCACCAAACCCGCAGCGCCCUUCCAUCGACGAGACGACGUCGCCGGCGAGAGAGAAGGGGAGAGAGUGACAGAUGGAGGCGGCGGCGGCGGCGGCCGGCGUGCAGCUCGGCUCCUCGAAGCCCCAGAUCGCCACGCAGGCGGAGAUGGCGGAGGCCCGGGUGCCGCUCCCCUACCGCGACCAGUGCGCGCACCUCCUCAUCCCGCUCAACAAGUGCCGCGUCUCCGAGUUCUACCUCCCAUGGAAGUGCGAGCCCGAGCGCCACGCCUACGAGAAGUGCCAGUACGAGCUCGUCAUGGAGCGGAUGCUCCAGAUGCAGAAGAUCCGCGAGGCGCAGGAGGCCAAGGUCAAGGGCGGCGCCUCCAUAGGCCUCAUCCCGGCCACCGCCAAGCUCGCCUGAUCCGGCCCCGGUCCGAUCCGGUUGAUUUAGGUGAGCUCCGAUCCCGUCACGCCGUUUCGAAUUUGUUCUGGAUUUAGCUCCGCGGUUCUGAUUGAGUUCGUGAUUUAAGGCCACAUUUCGUCUUAGGUCCCUAGGAAUUUUAAUUGCGUGAGAGUGGAAUCAUGCGCCCUUUUGUUAGGGGAAGCAACACUGAUCGGGUAAUUAGUCAGUUUCUGCGUGGACAUUGGGUUAAUUUGUGCACAGUCGAUAGUGAUAAGCUACUCGAUGAAAUAUUUAGUGUUCUAAGGAGUACUGAUUUGGGGUAAAAUGUAGAAAUGUGACCAUGAUUGAAGGGAUCAUUACGCAAGCUUGCUGUGAAUAUUUGAGUCUUCGACGUGAAAAACAGGCAGUUGAUAUACAUGGACAUCUCAGAUCACUCCUGACGUCAUUUACUUGCUGCUGAGUGCUUACUGCAGCUACAAAGUUUAUCCUGUAAAGCUGUAGGUUCCUAUAUUUCCAAUUGUGAUGUUCAUGAAUCAUGAGCAUAAAAUAGUGCUAAAAUGUUCAGAGACCAAUCUAGUUGGUAGGCAACUUAAUUUGAAUUCAUGAUGUCUGCCUUGCAACCUGAAUUUUUACAGCUGCAGAACAACCUGAAAUUUGGUAAUGGUCUGUUUGGUUAUAUUGGAAUGGGAACUCACAUUCUGGCUCACAGCUCCUUUAGUCAUUGGAAGGAACAGUACUUUAUCAAGGCCUAGAUUUUGGUUUAUACACCCAAUUUUGAAACCUGAAGCUAUCUGACUAAGGCAGACAAUUUACUGAGCCAGCGGUUAGUUUAGCUACAUGGGCGUGAAAACACAUAAUUGCCAUGAAGCGUCAAAUUUAACAAAAUCUGUAAUAAUAAUUAUGUCAUGUGAGCUUACCUAUGCCAAUAGGCAGAAUAUUGUAUAGGAUAUAUCUACCGGCUACAAAUUGCUGCGGACAAUGUUGAACUCGAAGGAACCUGCCCAGUUUCCAUUUUAUAAUGUGUUGAGGUGUCAUAUCUAUUAAAUAAAUGGAGAUACCAUUUCAUAAUCACAAUGUUCUUUUUUAAAUGUAACACCACUUAGCACCUUAGGCAGCUCUUUCCAGAAUGUUAUGUCUUUUGGGUGGAUGAGGUUAAGCCUAUGGUCUUCAGGGGUGCACACCAGGCCACAUCAAGGAAAAAAAAGCUUCCAUACUGUUAGACAUAAGCUUGAUAGUGCCGAUGGUUAGGGUCUAGGGCCAGUGUCUCCAGCCCUAGGCUGCUUGUACUUCGUUGCAUUUGAUCUUAAAUACUAUGUAAUAAUUCCCUGUUCUUUCAAUUUAAUCAGGUUAAAAGCAACAGAGCAUCUGCCUGUAUGAAAAAUGCCUUAAGUUUUAUGUUUCUUUUGGGGUUCAUUUUCAUAGCAGGAAAAUGUAACCUCAUGUUUAAAACUGAGCAAGCUGCAUAAUACUGAAUUUUUUGUGGGGCUCAACAAGCCCACAUAUGAUCAUCAAUAUACCACACCGCUGUUCCUAUAUGAGCAACAUAAAUUCAUUAGCUGUAUUCUACAUGUUCCUGUUGUAGCGGGCUAGCCAGCUACAGUUGGCCCUGCUAGUCUGCUGGGCUUACCUUGAAUAUUGGCAGCCAUCCCUCCAGUAGAAGCUGGGGAAACCCUGAAAUUCAGUGAAAACAGUAACCUUGUAGUGGAAAUUGAACUUCCACUCUAAAUUCGUCACCAUUGUAUCUAACUCUCCAUUGGCUAAUAAGCAUAAGGUAGUAACUGCACGACUGGUUGAACUUGUUAAUUGUAAUGGGGGUUGUAGUUACAAGCAUAAUGUGGUUGGUGAAGCGGAUAAGUGCUGGUGGAUGUUUUAUUUCCAUCUUCGACACAUAACUAAUUAUUAGUUCUAUUUCUUUUACUAUUUAGCUUUCCUUGUCUUGUGACUGUAUACAUGUUCAUUCAGUGCAGUGUUAUGAAAACCAGGGCAUAGGGACUGUAAGUAUGUGAGCAAUAGCUGCUGUCAGUCAGUAGUUUUACUCCAUGCACAUCUAAUGCACAAUAGGUUGAAAAACAUCGGAUGUGAUAUUUAAGGAAUCUUUUGGUCUGGUCUGGAUCAUAUGGUCACAAACUUUCCACUGUAAAGCAUGUCUUGUCUGAUAAUUCUGUUUGUAGCCUGAGGCUGUGACAACCAACAACAUGAAACAAACGGCAUAAUUAUUAUGGCAGUAGUGCAACUAGUCCCUUUUGGCUGGCUGAUGUUCGUUUCUUUUGUCAAUAUUUGCUUGGUGGGACUCCCUAUACUUAGCUUUUGAGGUACGUCUUCAGAGUUAUGCAUUAUGACCCCCUUUGGUGAACUAUUUUUCAAAGCUGCCACUGUAUGAUGAAACCAUUACAUAACUUUAGGUUGUUCAUGCAUCGUAGUCUGAGCGAGAAAUAAUGGUGUUGCCUUGCAUCUUAGCUGGAGCUAAAUCUCUUGUUUUUAUGCUACAAUUUGAGUAGGCAUAGAGGUUUAUUUUUAUUUUGGAAACUGAAACCGUAGUCUUCAUGGCUUUGAUUAUAUGGACCCUUUGGUUUGCUUGUCUCCCAUGUGAAUGCAUCACUAUGACAUUUGAUACCUUGCCUAUUGGGGGGCCAUGCCAGAUGAUUAAGUAUGCGAGCUAAAAAUCUUCAUCCCAUCAUCCUAUUAGGUGGCUCAGAUGGUUUUAUUCUAUCCAUUAUUAUUAUUAUUCCUUUUGGCCUGAAGCAGCGUCCAAACAUAACACUGUUUUACUAUGUUUCCUCUGGGACAUUUUGCUGUCUUGUUUGUUCCCCUGAUGGCAGUGCCUGUCCGGAAACUCACGUUAAUUUUACUUUUCUGUAGUUCAUGCUUAUUGCCCAGUCGUAUUGACCAGUGGAAUUCGUUUUGGAAUGUACAGGUCUGCUGGUUAUCACAGCGUGCAGAGGCAUUGUGCAAGAAUCCUGAAUGUUUGUUGUAUGAACAAACAUGUGUUGAAUUUGGCAUAAAGUUAACUGUUGUCUUCUUCCCCUCCCCCUUUUCUCCUUGAUGGGCAUCUUCAAGUUUCAAUUUGAUGGAAUAACGAAACCUACUGUCUUACUCUUGAUGACUGAAUGACGCCUUGAAGUUUUGAAUGCAAUUCGUGCAGUGGACCCUUCAUAUGUAGACAGACCUACUUUGUGCGGUAGGUCAUGUAAUAACAUAGCCGCUUUACCUGGUCUGUGGCUGUGCAGCAAUUUUGUGUUACGCAUGUCAUCAUCGUGCCAUGUUGCAUUGAUCUGUCGCUCCAGUUAUGUCCAUGCUUGAAGCAUAGCUCUGGACCGCAGAGUUGCCUUGUUACUUGCUACCAAUUGAUCGUUUGGGUUUCAAGUCUUUGGACCAAAUUUCGUCCGCGUGUGUACCAUGGAUCUGACUACAUUUGUAUAUGUGGCUCAGGGGCCGUGUUUGCCUGUUUGAGGAGGAGAGCAUCUGACUUUGAGGCUCUGAAAGCAAGUGACCCGACAGAAACCGAUUCAAGCUCCUGGAACGGUCUUCCAGUACUACCCACAGUUGGAGAUGCCAUGCACGUAGCGAAUCUGUUUUCGGAGUUAACAUUGGAUCCCUUGGUGUGUUUUGUCGCCGGUACUGUUCAUCCCGGCUGUGUUUACGCCCAGGAGUCGAUUUACCUGCUUUGUCGUCGUACGUGCAUCCCUGUCCGAUCCAUCGACCCGGCCCUGUCCGCGCCGAGCCGCGUGCACCGGUGAUUGGCGAACAGUGGUGCACUGUGCGCGCACAGUGAGCCCAAACGGCGGCGGCGGCGGUGGAAGAGCCGGGCGCCGCAGCGCAAUGACGACGACGCGCUGCCCGUGGCAAGGAGGCACGCGCGCACGUUGCCAAAGAUUUCGGCCGCGGCCGGGGUCCGUGCACCUGCCCGCCCGGGCCGCGGCAGGGGGGGUGUAGCGAGCCGAGCGCCGCUGCGCCCGCAUGGGCGAUCGCGCAUGGCAUGCAUGCGCCCGGCUCCUUUUUCUUUCCUUGUUCCGACUUCCGGGUGGCUGGUUACGCUCCUAGCGAGGGCAGAGGCAGAGGCAGAGGCAGAAGGCAGGCGUCGGGCAGCGACGCAUGUGCCGCGGCGACGUGUGUGUGGCCGUGUAGCGCGGCCAAAGUUAGGGCAGAGCGGAAUGAUGAUGGGCACGGCGAAAACUAACAGAGAGAUCCUCCUCUACUUGGUUCUACUGUUCCAUUCCAGGGGCUAGCUCCAUCAGGUCAGGCGCUAUUCCGGCUGGCAGUCCACCACCGUGCGCGACCGACGAAAGUUGGGGGAGACAGAAUCAUGGUCGUGGGGGCACGACCGGCAUGGCAGGGGCCUCGCCGCUCGCCGGUCGGAAGAAACGAACAGGCUGGGCGCGCGCGUUAAUAUCCAUCGUCUCGGCUCGGUUCGGCUAGUCCUGAGGCGGUCAGGCAGCCAGGCAGGCCUCCGCGCCCCCCGUGCAAUGAUGCUCUCCCUCCCUUCCUGCAGUUGCAUUGCUGCGGUGCUUCGUCUCGCCUCAUCUUCUCGAUCAUUCCUGCGCUGUAUCUAUCUGCACCCACUUUCCGCUAGCUUGUCAAGAUGCUCAUCUCUUCCUUUGCAACGACUUUACAUGAUCAUCCAUGCACAAAUAUAUAUGGCUUUUGGAUCCCAACCAACGAAAACUUUGACCGUUGCUCUCCUGGGCUAUUUAUAACGAAAGCGACUGGUGAUGAGGAGUCAACGUUCAUGAUUGGGGCAGAGACCAGAGACAAGGAGAACAUUCAUCCACAAAUCCACCACUUGAACGAAGGAAAAACGUGGCUACAGUGGUGUUUGUGACGGUACAUGCCACGCGCAGUGAUGCUGCUGCGCUGCAGCGCCCGUUAAUCGGCAUGCAUGCCGAUCCAUCUGCUUGCUGGUCCAGCACAGAGAUGAGAGAGGAGAGGGAUGGACCGUCACCGCCGGACUGCAGGCAGAGGAGGAGGAGGCUCAUCUCUUUGUGUGUUCCAAACGAGCAUACACACGCGCGCCUACAAACAGCAUGCAGCAGCGCUGGGAGGAGGAGGAGAGGAGGGGGACAGCGAUGCAGAAGGCAUGCAGCGAGCUCAAGUGCCAAGCAGACCAGCAGGGACAUCAUUGCAUGCAUGGUGAAAACAAGCGGAUCAUACGGCUCAUCAUGCCCGCACAAACCAGCGCCCCGGUCCUUCAUGCCAUGCCCGGCCGUACGUGCAUCCACAGCUAUCUUGUCAACUCCCCCCUACUUUCUGCAUUACGUGUCUGCUUCCAACCUUUUCUUUCUCUUACAGAAGAGUUUUUUUUAACUACAAGUAACCUUGGAAGGGUAACUGGUGGAAAAAAAAAUCCCCUAAAGUUGCAAGAUAAGUAAGAAGUUAUGGCUAUAACAAGCAAACCAUUGAACCGAAAGCCAUGUUAUGAUUACCGAUUCUAUAGCUUAUUUAAAUAAGCAUUUUAACAUCUCGUAUCAAACGUUUUUGACUACGACCGAUUUUCUCGACUUUCUCGUUGCUGACUGAAAGGAAAAAUGAGAAACAGAAUUGAAACCUGUACGUGGGGAACGGAACGAAGAGAGAGGAUCGGAGUUGCUUCUAUUAAAAAAAAGGAUCGGAGUUGCAAAUGGGUGCUGCGAUUUGACCGGCGCAUGCCAUGGGUGAGCACAGAAAAAGAUAUACGCCCCGGGGGGGGGGGGGGGGGGACCUCCGAUCCGUCCGAUCCUCAUCAGCUUCAUUCAGGGUUUCAAAGGUUUUAAUUUAUUUACGCGCCAUUUAUCUCUGAUUGUUCCUUGUCCUUCUGCGUCCUGCUGCCACGACGUGACCAGAAAAAUAAAUUCCCUCUGAACCUUACGCUCGGAUCCUUCUCCUUGGAUCUGCAUGUCUUAUAUUAAUGAUCUGCCUCCUGCGGCCACUCCGAUAUGAUCCGCUGUUAAUCCAUCUACAUGCUCAAUCGUCGCUAGCUUUAAGUACAGAGCUAUCUCUCUGUCGUCCGAAUCAAAUUUAAUUAAUAAGGUGUUUGGAUCCAAGUGCUAGUGUUCAAAAAUACUAAAUUUUAGUAUUAGUGUAUCCAAAUAGAAAUGCUAAUGGAUGAGCUAAACUUUAGCCAAAACUUAAAAAAAAAUUAGUAUUAGUACGAGUACUUAUUAGGUGCUAAAAUUUAGCACUUAGCUUUAGCCCACCCAAACAGGCUAAAGUAUAUACCAAGAACAAUAUGCACAAAUUAAAUCAACCAGUGUGUGCGUGCAUGUAGGGCUUAUCUGUACGGGGGUCAAGGUGAUGGAUACGACCAGUCACCUCCCUGAUCUCCAUCAUCAUCGCCAUCAUGCUGCUCUUGAUACCACCAUCUAUCAUGUGACAAUUUUUGCUCCAAGAAAACAUCUUCUUUCUUUAAUAAUUAUUGCAUGCAUGGUUCGUAGCCUUUUGGUGUCCCCGAGACAAAAAAAAAAGGAGAAAUCAGCUGCCAUUAGCUUUUUUCUGCAUAUCAUAGAGGCUGAAGCUCCUUUUCUACCUAAAUUCAAAGCCCAAAUCCUUGAGGCCACGAACCGAACAGGCUCCUACAAUCACCUUUAUUCUUCAGCGAGAGCGUACAGGCUAGGUGCCUAGAUGCAGUAGGAAUUUUCCACAGCCAUGCACACACGACGACGCACUGAUCAGCUCAUAUCUCGUACACAUGCGCAUGAGACCCAACAAAGGUCGAGCGAGCUUUUCUUGGCUGUGUUUGAUCGUGAAAGGAAUCCAUGCUCGUAGGCCCCGUUUGGAAGCCAACAGAUUCUAAGAAUCCAGAAGUCAGAAGCUGUCUAGCUUCCAAACAGGUGGAUUUUGGUCCAAAUUCCAGAAGCAAGAUUUUAGGAUUUUAAGAAUCCCAGAAUCUGGAGCUGGGCUGCUUCCAGCAGCUACUGGCUGCUGAAAUUAUGAUUUUGCCCUACACUAUUCUGAAAAAUUACGCGAAUUUGCCAUCUCCAUCAUCCUCGAUCCCUCCCAUUCCGACUCGCAUGGCAGACGCAUCCUCUCCCCGCCGCUCCCUGCUCCAUCAUCCGCGCGGCCCGUCCCUGCUCCAUCCCGCGCCACACGGGCGUCCAUUUCGCCUUGGGCAGGAAGGAGCGGCGUCUGGACGGUUACGGGCGACAGUUUGACUGGCCCGUGCGGAGACGGCCGGAGACCAUGGCCGGCACUCAGGCGGCGGCUCGGCGGGGACCCCUGCCUGUCCCUGCCCGCGGCGGCUCAGCCCCGCUGCUCCUCCCCACCGCCAAUAAAGAGGCGCGCGCGGCCGCCCGAGCGCCGGCCAUCCUAGGCGGGGCCCGCUCCUCCCGGCUCGUGCAGCCGUCUUCGCCCCGGCGGUGCUCCUCCUCGCCGGCGCCCACGGCCCACCAGGCGUGCCCCACCGCUCACCACCAGCUGCGCUCGCCUGCUUCCUCGGCGGCGCUGCCCACCUGCUCCCCACCGGCGCCGUCCGCUCCGCCCGUCCGGGGGCCGGCGGUUUUCGCCCUGGCGGCCGUCCCGGUCAGGCGUCGCGCCGGCGCCCAACCCCAUCCGUCCAUGGCUGCGGCUGGCCCGCGGGCGCCCCUGCCCGUCUGCGGCCACGGCCGGCCAGCCCGCGCCCGUUCCUGGCCGCGGUCCGUCCCCAGCUGUGGUGGCCUUGCGCCGCCCCCGCCUGUCCCCGGCCGCGGCCACCGAGGCACCGCCCGUCGCCCAGGCGUGGAGCAGAGGGACGGCCAAAAAAAUAGCAAGGGCAUAGAAGACAUGCUUCAACGUCCAUAAAAUCAACUAGUCGAAUCUAGUUAUCCAAACAGCAGGAUUCAGAUUUUAUCUCAAAUCCAAAUUUUCACAAUCCAUCAAAAUCUAGCUUCUUCCAAAAUCUGAAUGUGAUCCAAAUAGGGCCAUAGCUUAAGAGAGGAAGGGGAUGAAUUAAGCUAUUCUAGAACUUUAACCUAUGGCUCAAAUUAGUUUGCAUAAAAUAUAAACUAAAUUAUAGAUUAUGCUAUCUAGAUGUGCAACUAGAGUUCAACUAGUGUGAAAAGUUUAUCCCAAAGAGUUUUGUAACCUAUAGCGAAUCCUAAUAAGAUACUGCAUUAAGAAUGUAAAGGCACACAAGAUUGUAAUAAGAAAUGCGGAAGCUUAAAAGGGGUAGGAGGAAGCAAACUCCCGAAGAUUUAUCCCGUGGGGUAGGCACAAGACUGCCUCUAGUCCACGUUGUUGAAGCACCCACUAAGAGUAUUGUUUCCCGGUCAUCAAGUCUCUUCCGGAGCUAUUCUUAACUCCCCACCAAGGCUUAGCCACCAAGGCUCUCGUCAAGUCCCCAAACCUCGAUGACGUCUCCACUGAGGAGCUUCUCCACGAAGGAAGCGGGUCUCCACGGUCCCCGCACAAAGCCGUCAUUGCCGCUUUACAUAAAACCGGAGGGUCGAUGACUUGCCAGCGAGUCACCAAAACUUCAAGGGGCCGGCACACCGAGAUACAACUUGUGGUUUACUCAAGAACUAGCACACAAGACAGCAACACCUUGCUCUCUCACUCUCUCUAGAGCUAAUCCUAGCACUAACACUUUCAAAACUUGUGCUAAAUAUAAGGAUGUGAUCAAUGAGCUCUUAGGUGGCUUGGAGAACUUCUUCAAAGUGUGGAUAGUUUCUCACGAACUCUAACAACCUCAAAUGACCUGGAGUGAGACUUUAUAUAAUCUAGAGAUCCACACCUAGCUGUUACAUACUUUUUCCAUGAAAAGCAAAGCGUCGGUUAAACCGGUCGCCGCUGUCAGUUUAACCGGUCACACUCAGCCUGCCUACUAGUCGUUGAACUCCAACUGCCAUCCUCUGCUGACGUCGUUGCACCGACACAAUGCACCGACCACCGUCGAUUUAACCGGUGCUGAAGAUUUUGCUUGGAAACCCUUCUAGAACCAAAAUAUGCAUACUGAGUAACCACAACACGCUUGCACCGAUGCCUCCUUUUGCACCGUCAAUUUAACCGGUGCCUCUAUCAUUUCUUCACUUGAUUGCCAUAUCAUCUCCUUAUUGCACCGACGCCUCCAUUCUUAUAGCGUCGGUUUAACCGGUGCUACUAUGAUUUCUUCACUUGAUCGCCAUAUCAACUUAUCAAAGCACCGACCCGUUAUAAGUACAUGCUGUCGGUUUAACCGACGCAUGUAAUCAUGCUGAAUCUUGUUCAAAUCAUCUCGGCUGUCAUUUGGACACUACAACCUGGACAUCUUGAUAGUGAUUUGGACCAUCUUGUAUAUAGAUUAGACUCCAUCCAUGGGAUCUAGAAAUCCUACAAAUUUGAGCUCACAAACUUGUUGGUCCCAUUGACAAUGUUAUCACAUAAUCAUCAAAAUCAUAAUCAUGACCUAAUGAGGUCAUGUUCCUUACAGAUUGGACACAUCUUUAUUUAUAUCCUGCCGAUACUCAACUCCUAUGCAACAUUUGCUAGGUAGUACUAGCUAUAGCUCACUAUGGAUCCAUUUUGUUUUCCAGAAAUAAGCCGUUUGCUUGCUUGCAUGCAUGCAUGUUGUGGUCAGGUGUCGUGUCAUCAUGCAUGGUUUAUCACUUUCAGUUGCUGGACUGAAACGGUUAGCAAACGCUAAGCAAUGCAAGCUUGAUUGCUGAACGAAGAAGCUGAAUGCAUGGAAACAAUGGAGAAGAAUGACCAAGCAAAAACAGUGCAUCGAAAUGAGUAAUGGGUUCAACAAGUUGCUGGUGUCUGUCUACAGGUAGCAUAGAUAGCAAUGCAAUGCAAGCAGAGGGGGAGGAUGUGGAGGUGGACAAUUAAGCCAGGUGCAUGUCAGAGGCCAUCCUGGCGGGAAGCUUGGCAUGCUCUGCUGCUGCCGCUGGCUGUCUUCAUCUCCGCUCGGGUCAACAGCUCUGCCCCAUUCUCAUAAUUAUCCCCUCCUACGCCAGGCAUAUGCUCUGACCGCAUCUGAAACACACCCUUUGUCUCCAACCUUUUGUCUCUUGCCCGCCGCUGCAAUCUGCCCGGAGUACACAGCAAAAUUUAACACUUCCGUCUCACUGCUCCCCCCCCCCCCCCCUCUCUCCUCUCUCUAGUGGCUAGUAUUAGAGGAGGCAGCCAGGCAGGUGUUGCACAGCGCGUAUAUGAGGUUGCUAGCCUGGCUGAUGGAUGGUCAUUCAUGUACACAGACAUGCAUGUGAAGUGGCUGGCUGUCUAACCAGAUAUAUAGCUUCUGGUUGCCGGUUUCAUUCCUCGCUGGUCGGUUUGGUGUUGUUAGUUGGAGCGAGCGAGCUAGCUAGCUGAGAGAUAGAUAGAUGACCAUGGUGAGGACGGUGGUCGGCCGGGAGAGGAGCGGCGGCGUCAGGCAGUACAACCGGUCCAAGGUGCCUCGCCUCAGAUGGACGCCCGAUCUGCACCACUGCUUCGUCCACGCCAUCCACAAGCUCGGGGGCCAGGACAGUAUGUGCAUGCUUGAUCAUCUUCAUGCUUGCUCCGAUUUUCCUCUCUUUCUCCGGUAUGGAUUGAAUGCGUGUCUGUGCGUUUCUCAUGCCAUGAGCUCUGAACCUGUGGUUGCAGAGGCUACGCCGAAGCGAGUUCUGCAGCUGAUGGGAGUUGGAGGACUCACCAUAUCUCAUGUCAAAAGCCAUCUGCAGGUUCACUACUGAAAUACGUUCUUCAUCUCCUCCCCCCACACUGCCGCGCCACACAUGUUCUUAAUUUUUCUUUGAUAAAGUUGAUCACUAGCUAACUGAACAAGUUUUAUUUCUGAAUGUUGAAGCAGAUGUACAGAAAUAUGAGAAAUGAUCUUGGAAUGCAAGGUAUAAUAUACAUCUUUCCUUUUGUUUCAAGACAAGUUAUUACAAAUUUGUACAUGUAUAUCCUAGUUGCCCUGCCCUAAGUAGUUCAGGAACAUCUCUUCUUUCUUCCCAAAAACGUUAGGAGAACUGAAAAAGGGAAGCAUAUACUUAUCUUUUCUUCCCACCCCUGUAGCUGGUUGGGUCUUCGUACUGUAGAGCCUCUAAAAAUAGCUAAAUACUUUCUUUGGGAAAAAAAUAGCUAACGAGUUUAGCAUUACUACGUGAGUAUUUUUAAAAAAAAAUCCAAAAAAUUAAAUGUGCCUCAGCUAAUGAUAGUCUAUGUAAUACCGCCCAGGCUCACAUCUAAUUAAGAUAAAAAGUUAUUUAUUGAUGAUGUUACUAGUCAUGAGAAAGCAGAAAGGCUGUUGGUUGGUCAUGGGAAAAAAAAACAUGUUCUUUCUUGCAAUUCAUGCGUGUGUGCAUGGAUGGCACCAUUCUCAACGGCUAUAGAUUUUUUUUUUAUGUGCUUGCUUUUGUGCGUGCAACCCAAUGGCUAGGUGUAUACAGUAGAAGCAGUGUAUGCUCCAUCCUCCAUGCAUACAGCUGCUGCAGCACACUCCAUCAGCGUCAGAGAACAAAACCUAAACUAACCCCCCAUUCUUCCUCUUCUUUUGCCGAUCCUGCGAUCAGGGUCGACGAUGCAGCAGGUGCCCCGGCCGGAUCAGGAGCACCUAUACGGAGGAAGCGGCAUGCAUAUGGAGCUCUGCAGUCAGGAUACACAGCAGCAGCAGUGGGAUCAUGAGUGCGAUGGCCCCUGCUGCUGCAUCUGCCGCUCGCCAAAGCCUAGAAAGGAGCCAAUGCUGCCGCUGCUGCUUCACCCCCAACUGAAAAGGUCACUGCCUUUUAUUUUUUACUCAUUCCCUUUUAUUCUCUCUCGAUGCGCUCUCUGCCAAUCUAUCUACAUGCUCAUCGGUCACGUCAGGAGGCAGCCAUUUCGCGCCGCGAAUAAUGACAACGUUUUUUAGACCCCCUCCUUUCCUUUGGCACUCGCUUUCUUCAGGGUCUUUCUUUUAUUUUUAUUUUUCUUCUUCCCUGGGGUGGUGGUAGCACGGUCGUAGCCAUGGAUCGAAUAGUAUUCCUGCGUGCGCAUCUUGGAAUAAUUUAGCUUUGAUAAGAUGCAAACAUCAUGUCGCCUAGACUGUGCCAUGACCAAGGUCAAACUUUAAAAUUUCUGGACAUUGUUAGCUUUUGAAUAUUUGAGUUUAAAAAAAUGUAUAUUUUCCUUGAAAAUUAGUUUCAUAGUCCCACACUUCCAUUGUGCACUAAACAGUGGUCAAAGCUACACCUCAUAUACCUAAAAAGCCAUGAGCGUCAUUAUCCCCGUUUGAUUUCCCUAAUGAUUUUGCUUUGGAGAGUGUUCAAGAUUUUUUGGACAGAAAACUUACCCAAAGUGCACUGUAGAUAUGCUCAUAUGAUUCUCAAACUUCAAACAUAAAUAAGAUCAGUAAGUUAAUUUGUAUGCUCUCCAAAAUCAAACACUGGCAAUUCGUUUGUACUAUUUACAUGCAUGUGCAAUGUUUCUCCCCCAAACAGCAUGCGUGAACUAACCAUGCGUGUGCAACCAAACAACAGGACGGAGACGAGGCGUGAGCGGGAGGAGGAGGAGGAUUACGGCGGGAACGCGAGCCCCAAGAGCCUGCUGCGAGGCCCAGGACCAGGAAUAUGUGAGGGCGACGGGUCAUCGCCGCCGCGCCUCUACUGCGCCCUCGCAGCAGCAGCAGGUGGCUACAACUACAUGCGCAUCAUGCAAGCGGCCAUGGGAGGCAUGGCUGCUGCUCCUGGUGCUCCUCCUCCUCACGCGGAGCCGGAGGUGGAGCCCCUGCAGGGAGCGGGAAUAAAGCGGCAGCGGCAUGAGGCGCGGCCCGCCGCGGCAUGCGGCGGACACGCCGCCCCUGCCCCUCCUCCCAACAAGCUCUUCACAUUCUUGGGCUUCGUGGUGGCGCCGGGGCCGGCCGCCUGCCGCCGUGACCACCCUUUUGAGGUAUGCCCUGCACUGCACUGUCUCCUGGAUCGAUCGAGCUGUGGGGGGAAAGCGAGGGAUCAGAGGGGACAAAGCGCAUGGAUAGAUGGACGGAUCGAUCGUCGUCUCAGUCUGUAGCUCAGAGCAGCAUAGCAAUUCGCAUGGCAUGCACCCUGUGUGUGACACGGUCGAUGGGUUCAUACUCUUUCCCUGCAGCAGUGCCGUGUUUUUGUCCUCGCGUGGCCUAGCUUGCUACUGCAGCGCACGCGUGCUCCCCUCCUCUCUCCCCGAGUUCCAGUAGAGAGCACCAAAAAGGCAAAAGCUUUGAAGUGACCGGCCGGCCUGAUAGUCAGGUCUACUACACUACUGACUAGUGGUGCUGCCUUUUCCUUUUCUGCACACUACUAGCUGACUAGUGGCAUCGUACAGCAACACUCCAAGAAAAAUGCUAACACGUGACAACCUUAAAUGCAAAUUUGUCAAACGUCGAGGGAUAUUUGCUUCCAUCGUAAUAAUCUUAUUAAUUUGUCAUAAAUUUAUCACAAUGUGGUAAUGAUAAGCACUUGACUUACUGAAUGCUAACGAUCGAAAUGGUUUGCAUGCAGAUAGCCAGCAGGACCCGCGUCCCCCGCACGGCGAACCGGUUGCCGUGCAGCGUCGACACGCCAAGCAACAAGGCCGUCGUGCGCCGAGGCGCCAAUAAUCCGCCGCCGUCGGUCGCUUGGGCACACGACGACGACCACGGCUGCUCGCUAUCGCUGUCCCUGGCGCUGGACACCGGGAGCGGGCGGUGCUGCACGCACGGCGGCGAGGAGGGCAGCCUGCUGUCGCCGACGACGUCGUCGGCGGGGAGCCGGAUCAGCCUCGACCUGUCGCUGUCCACGUCGAACUGACCUCUGCGGCUUAACGGCGUGUGCUUGCUUCUGCCGCCCAUGCGAUGCAGUGAGUGGUGUAGUAUGGGCCUAGCGGGCCUCUUGGUGUAGCGCUACUACAAUUUUCGCGUUGUGUCGUUGUAGCGUUCGGCCCAAACGGCCCAUAUAUGUAAUAGCUGCCAAGUCUCCGCUUCCUUUCCGCUCUAUAUGGUGUUGCCGUGCUGGUGUGCCUUAGGAAGAGCUAAGAUAAUCUUAUCAAUCCCGAAAGCGAUCUCGUUCUAACCUAAACGGCCGACCAUUAUCUCGCAAGUGAUCAGUCUAACGGAUUUUUGAAAUCCGUAUGACAGAUUUUUACGGAGGAUCUGUUUUCCUCGAAUUACGUAGAGAAGAAUUGCCACUCUAAACAAGCACCGAGUUUUUUUUCCUUUUUUUUGCAGAUUUUUCGACAUAGACGUUGUGAUGUUUGUAUUAUCCAGCACCUUAGCACAAAGCACAUAGAUUUUUACCACUUUAUCUUGUCGUCGAUAGAAUGGUAUCGACGAACAGAACACAUCUUAGCUUAAAUCCAAAACGAAUCAAUAUUAGCAGAGCAGAGCAGGAAACUGACUGAUCGAUGCAAGACCUUAAAUUUAAAUUUUGGGUUCACAAACAAGUAAAACUGUUGCAAAAUUAAGGAGCAACUUCUGGAGACGGGGAAAAAAUAAUUAAGCAUCUGUCUGACCUAGGGCUAACAAACACGUCUAAAUCAUACGACCUACGAGGACGUGCACUUUGUACAGCUCCUAAAAAGGCGCAGCCAAUACGAAGCGCCGCCGGCCCGCCGUGCCUUUACAUGGUGUAGUACGGCGACUUGACCGCCGAGAUGUCGAUGCCCCUGAGCUUCGCCGACGACUCGAGGUGGCCCCUCAGCGUGCUCGUCUCGCGGAACCUGGCCACCUCCGCUCGCCGCCUGGCCUGCUCGGCGAUCUCCGAGAGCUCCGCGUAGCUGCUGCUGCUCCUGCCGGGCUGCUCCGACUCGGGCGCCGGCAGGCCGUGCAGGCUGCGCUGCGUCGUCGCCCACUGCGCCUCGCGCUCCUCCCGGCCGUAGUCCUUCUUCGUGGUGAAGGCCGUCUGCGAGGAACAAAACCAAGACACGAGAAGCCUCGUCAGACUCAGACUGAAAUUAAGGUGAAACCAACGCCAAGACAAAAACACCUUCUUCUAGCUGUUACCUUGUUCUGGACGUUGUCCCAGGCCCUGCCGCUGAGCACGUAGCGGAUGGCGAACUUGAACAGGUCGAGGGGCACGAAGGUGACGAGGCUGUAGAGCCAGAUCACCCCGGCCCAACCCCACCCGAUGGCCUGGAUCUUGGCGAACCCGAAGCUGGCGUACACGGCAAUGAGGGUGGCGACCUGAAACCACGGCAGGCAGGCAGUCAGUCAGGAUCAGCAUGCUCUUGUGCAGCGGGAGGCCGGCGGGCGGGCUUACAAUCUGCGCGAUGACGAAGGCCGCGCACAGCAUGUAGCCGGGGCGGUCGACGAAGCACCAGCUGCGCGACCGCGUCACGAAGAUGAGGGCCUGGCUGAUGAUGCUCACUUGCAGGUACAGGGCCGACAUCAUCUCCUCGUCGCUGCCCCUCAGCGAUCUCACGCGGAACGUGUUCUGCGGUUCAAACAAAGACGAGGUUAUGUUAUGUACCCAGGACAGUGAACCUUAAUGUUUUGUCAUGCUUCUUCGUUUGCAUGGUAGGAUGCUUACCGAGAAGAAGUCAGUACUCUUCAUGGCCCAGAAGAAGAUGACAGUCAUGACGGCCAUGUAGGUUCCGUACACAAUGCCGGUGGCAAAUAUCUCAUUCAGCUUCCAGCUAUCAGGGUGUGGGGAAGGUUUUACCCUGUCCUUUGCGAUAGUCAUGAUUGUGCCUGAAAUCAUACAGCAACAAAAGUUCAGCACAUUUAUUUAAAAAGAAAAUCAGCAUAUCGGUAUUGAAUGUUCAGAUUCCUGUUCUACUCUGAAUCUGCAUUGCAAACCUACCAUCGUUCAGAAUGGCAAUGACCAGAAUCAUGAAAGGUGAGAAAUCAAAUUUCCAGAUAAGCGCAAUCAGCAUGAAUCCAAGCUGCACAAUGACAACACGUUAGAUUUUCCCAGUAAAAUAAAAUAAAAAUAAUUGUGCUACCGGUUGAUGCUUGUACAGCCUGAGGAAAGCAAAAACUUACCACAAUACGAAUUGUAAUCGACACUGCAUAUAUCUGCAGAAAUUGCAAGAGUAGAAAAUCAGUGUAAUUGUCGCUGAAAGAGAAAGGAAGGCAUGCUCCUAACAUGUAGCAGUAAGUUUCUCAAGGAUGGAACUCUCACAGUGUAAUUCUUCAUCCUCUGGAAGAUGGCACGGCUUGUAAGCACGGCGCUGAUGAUGACACUGAGUCCUUCUAGAGUAAGCACAAUGUCAGAGGCACUCCUUGCUGCAUCAGUAGCACCAGCCACGGCAAUUCCGAUAUCCGCCUUCUUCAACGCAGGUGCGUCGUUCACGCCAUCUCCAGUCAUUCCACAGAUGUGUUUCAUCUCCUGCAGCUUCUUAACGAUCUCAUACUUGUGCUCUGCAUCAAAAUGAAGCAACGUCAAGACUGAAUAAACCAUCAACUGAUAUUACAACUGCAGUGUAAUUUCUGUGUGCAUGCUCACCUGGGAAGACACCGGCAAAGCCGUCAGCCUUCUCGAUCAAUUCCUCCACUGGGAUUGAAGCAGUGGCCUCAUCUUUGUUCUGCCCAAGCAGAGCUGACGACGGGUACAUGUUAGUGCCCAUCCCUAGCCGUCUCCCGGUCUCCUUGGCAAUGGCAAGCUGAUCACCUGUAGGAUUGUCAAAGUAAUGUCAGCUUGAACAAUUUCUCAGGUCUGUAGUGUAAAGUAGUAGAAUUAUAUAAUGAAAGACGGAAUGUACCAGUGAUCAUCUUCACGUUGACGCCGAGGUUGAGAGCACGCGUGAUGGUGUCAGCGCUGUCUGAUCGGGGUGGGUCAAGCAGAGGGAGCAGUCCGACGAACUCCCAAGGCUCUCCAGGGCUUUCUUUGCUCUUCUCCGGGACUACCUGUAAAGCAUGACAUAUGUUAAGAAACAGAAGACGUAGUAGCUCAUAGAUGUAAAAAUGACUGUGUUCUGAAAAGAAGUAGGUCGUGCCUGUCUUGCAACUGCAAGAGAUCGAAGGCCACGCUCGGCGUACUUGUCGAUCACAGUGUGAACCAGGUUCCUGACGUUGUUUCCACAGUUGCAGAGGUCCAAGAUCUACAUGGAUACAUGCCAUGGUUAGUAACAGAUGCGAUCCGUGCAGGAAGAAAGAAAGAUAAUUUUUUUUUCGGUGGAAGACAAUGAUGGUGACGAAUAAACAACCUGCUCGGGAGCGCCCUUGCUGACACGGUGCCAGCUGCCGUCGGCGAGGUCAAUGUAGGUGAGGGCCGUGCGCUUGUCGACGGGGUUGAAGGGGAGGAAGUGAACCUCCUCGAUGCCGUCCCUGGCCUCCUUGGGAUCACUCAGCAUGCCGACCAUGGCGGCGUCGAUGGCGUCCUGGUUCUCCACCCUGGAUGCCCUGGCGGCGAACAAGACGACAUCGUCCUUCUCAACGCCCGGGGCAAAGAUCUCGACAAGGCUGCGGUCGACGCUGAGCUUGUUGAGGGUGAGCGUGCCGGUCUUGUCGCUGCAGAGCACGUCCAUGCCGGCCAUCUCUUCGAUGGCUGUCAUGCGCUUGGUGAUGGCGCCCUGCUUGGACAGGCGGUGCGAGCCGAUGGCCAUCGUGACCGAAAGCACGGUGGGCAUGGCGAUGGGGAUGCCGCCGAUAAGAAGUACGAGGAGGUUGUCGAUGCCAUCGCGGUACCGGCGGUGCUGGACUGGGUACAUGACGAGGACCUCGAUGAUGAUGCCGACGGCGAUGGAGGCGAUGCAGAAGUUGCCGAUGGACUCGAGCACCUUCUGGAAGUGGCCGACCUGGUUGGUGCUGUCGACUAGGUGCGCUGCCUUGCCGAAGAACGUGUGCACGCCCGUGGCGAUGACGACGGCCUCGAUCUCGCCCUGUUUGCACGUGGAGCCCGAGUAGACGCUGCUGCCGGGGUUCUUCGUGACCGGGAGGCACUCGCCGGUGAGAGCCGACUGGUCGAUCUUGAGCGGAUCUCCCUGGAGCAGGCGCGCGUCGGCGGGGACGAUGUCGCCGAGCUUGAUGCUUAUGAUGUCCCCGGGGACGAGGAUCGCCGCGUCCUCGUCGCUCCAGCGGCCGUCGCGGAGCACCUUUGUCCUGGGCGCGAGGUUGGCCAUGAGCUCCUUGGCAGCGCUCCCGGCGUUGUUCUCUUCUAAGAACGAGAUGGUGGAGUUGAGGAAGAGGAGCACGACGAUGCCGACGAAAUCUUGCCAGUCCGGUGGCCUGUGGUCGCCAUUGGCGAGCACGAUGGCGAUGAGUGCGGCACACUCCAUCACCCACGACAGCGGGUUCCACAUGAACCCUAGGAACUUGAGCACCUUGCUCUCCUGCACGCACGGCACAAUUGUCACACGACGCAAACCUUGCAGAUCUAAACGUACACAUACGGGUAAAGAAAAAAAAGAGAGGACCAGGCUAGUUACACUAGACGGAUCAUGAUCUAACCUUCUUUUCUUCCAAUUUGUUGGGGCCAAACAUGGCGAUGCGUGCCUGGGCAUCCGAUGUAGCGAGGCCUUUGCUGCUGCACUUGAGUUUGACGAAGACCUCCUCCACCGGGAUGUUCUCCUGCGAAGUGGACGCAUUGUUAGAUCGAAACGGAGCAAUUGAAGGCCGAUCUCAAAACUUCAAAACUAGCUGACCAAAAACAACGCUGUAAACCGGAUCGACAGAUCGACUGAAUUGAAAGAGGAGAACGACGCAAACGAACGAAAAAGACGAAGAUCGAAUCAAUUCUAACCAGAUCGAUGGACUCAUGCUUGAUCUCGUCGAGGCCCUCGUCCAUGGCGGCCGCCAUCGCCGCGGGGCUAAACCCUGGCCGCCCUAAACCUCCCACGAGAAAACGGGGCGCUAUCUGUAUGCUGCGUGCCAACGAGAGGGGGGAGAUAUCCACGCAGCCACGUCUUUUAUUUAUAGAGCAGUAGUAGCAAUACGGGUAACAGAUAAACACGUAAGGAAAAAGGAUUUCUUUCCCCUCCCGUCACGGGCCCAAUCUCUCUUUCUCGUUCAUAUUAGGCCCAUGGCAGGCCUGCGCCAGCAUUUUCGGCCCACGGUGAGGACGCCGGACCCGAACGUACCUCUUGAUCACACUUAGGUGCUGACAGCACCUAAAGAUCAUGGUGUUGACCAAUUAAAAUAAAAUCACUUAAUUCAUUCAUUCUGAUAACAUAUUAACAAGAGCAUGUACAAAAUAAAAUAAAAGUAAGAGUUGAACCUAGUUUGGAUCAAGCCAUUGAUGGAGGUUUAACAAACAACUAGGAGUAUGUGUAUAUGUUGAAGGCUUGAAGCAUUAAUUUUACAUUAACUAUUAAGCACUUUUGCUCGUUAUAAGAACCGUUUACUUUGGUUUUAUACAGUGGGUGAGGUUGUCGAAAUAAAUAUCAUGCGUGGGGUAUGUUUGUAUUCCAUCAAUUCAUCUAAAAAUUCAUUACAAUACCCGCAAAAAAAUUAAAAAGAAUGCAUGUCCGUUCCUCAGGUUCAUUCACAACGAAUUAGAACCCGUGCAGCAUUGACGACGCUUCGCUAACCCUCCCACCAUUCCGAUCAAACCGCCCUCGUUUCAGUAUAUAUGGCCGCGCCGCCGCCGCUGCCGGCGACGCGCGCCGCCAACGAGACUGGCGCCGCUACGCCCGACCAGCAGGGCACCGGCGGCGCGGCGGCGCGGAGGGCGGUCAGCGCCCUGCUGUUCUUGGCGGCCGUCGCCCUCCCGUGCCUCGUGGUGUACCGCCACCGCGCCGUGGCGCUCGGAGACGUCCUCGAGCCCCCGCGCCUAGGCGCGCCGAGCGACGACGACCUCGACCUGGUGAGUGCGCGAUGCCACGCGAAAGUAUCUGUUCGUGAAGGUUGAUGUGAUCCGGUUGGGCGGCGUGGUCAUCCGAAAGGUCCGUGAUAACAAACGGUCAUUCUGAUCUUUCUUCACUGCCGAUGUUCAAGUGGAACCACGAAAAGAAAAACGGUAGCCCAUUGAAACUUAGUGCGCCUUCGAUGCCAAAUGUUUCAAUUAUUAUUUUUGAAAAUUACUUCAAUCGAUCAGAAGAAGAAGAAGAAUGGAUAAACUGGUGAGAUAUCAUUGACAAUUCCGUGGAGUAUAGUACAGACCACCAAUAUAUACUGAAAAGCCCUUGCCCCCUUUCUUUUUCUUUAGCUGCUGAUAUACUAGUCAACCUCGCCUCUUUCUGGAAACUCUGCUUUUUUACUUGUAGUCGCCAUGCUAUGUUAUUCAGCAUCGUGAUGUAUGCAGCCACUUCGAUUCUGCUGAGUGAGCCAGAAUUUUUCAUCGUCCAGAAAAGCUCUACCUUGCUCAGUCUGCAACAAUGGCAGGCCAAUCGUCUGUAGAUCGAACUGCCGUGCUUAAACUGACUGACGCGCUCGCUGCACGCAUUCAGGACAUCGAUGACGCGAAGCUGGAGGAGGUCCUGAGGGGGGCCGCGAUGGCGAACGACACGGUGAUCCUGACGACGCUGAACGCCGCGUGGUCGGAGCCCGGCUCGGUGCUGGACGUCUUCCUCGAGAGCUUCCGGACCGGCGAGAGCACGAGGGAGCUGCUGGACCACCUCGUCAUCGUGUCGCUGGACACGGCGGCGCACGCGCGCUGCAGGCAAGUGCACCGGCACUGCUUCGCGCUCGUCACCGGCGGCGUCGACUUCUCCGGGCAGAAGAACUUCAUGACCGACGGCUACCUCAAGAUGAUGUGGAGCAGGAUCAACUUCCUCGGGCAAGUCCUUGAGAAAGGCUUCAGCUUCAUUUUCACGGUAUCUUCCUGCCGGAUCAGUUUAAUUUUGGAACGGCAUUCUGAAUAAAUGUGCGUCGAUUCUGAAACUCUGAACAUCUCAGGACACGGACAUCGUGUGGUUCAGGAACCCGCUGCCGCACUUCUACCUGGACGGGGACUUCCAGAUCGCCUGCGACCACUUCACCGGCGACCCUGACGACCUGAGCAACGCGCCCAACGGCGGGUUCGCGUACGUGCGUUCCAACUCGGAGACGAUCGAGUUCUACAGGUUCUGGUACGCGGCGCGGGAGAAGCACCCCGGAUUGCACGACCAGGACGUGCUCAACUCCAUUAAGCACGACUCCUUCGUCGCCGAGCUCGGCGUCAAGAUCAAGUUCCUCAGCACUGAGCUCUUUGGUGGCCUGUGCGAGCCGAGCCGGAACAUGAGCAGGGUCUGUACAAUGCACGCCAACUGCUGCAUCGGGCUGAGCCGUAAGAUCAGCGACCUCAACGCCAUGCUCCGGGACUGGAGGAGGUUCAUGGCGCUGCCGCGCGACGAUAAGCAUUCUGUUUCAUGGACUGUGCCACGCAAUUGCAGGUAAAGGCAACCAAGGCAUGUUCAAAAAUACGCGCACUGUGCGUUUCUGAUCAAGAGGAAGCUGUCUUUCUAGUGUUCAGAAACUGGGGCGAUAGAGCAAAGAGGAAGCUGUCUUUCUGCUUGACAAGUGAUCAAUUCAGACUCCGGAAAGAUGGGUAAUGCAAACCAAAAUAUGGGAAGUUUAUAAGUUCAUUUUUGUUGAUUGUAUUGUAGGCACUGACGUGAGCUACUGAGUAUUGGACUGCCACAGUGAAUUAUUCGCACAUUUUGACUCCCUGUAAGCAACUGAGUGGAGCUGCUAGUCGAUGUCUUUGCACAUGCUUGUAUUACAUUUUUAACUGAAAUGAACGAAUCUUAAUCUGCAAAGUUUGAGAAUGCAGCCGCACAAUCUAUUCAAGUAAAGAUGCGGAAAGAUAUAAAGGUACUUGCUCAUUGUUGCCCCAAAUCCGGUGCCGUGGUACUCGCGGUCGUGGGUUAUCUUCAGACAUCUGUAUUCCCGGAGCUCCUUUCAGGGCCUAUCCGAAAGAGAAUCCAGGACCUCCCUGUCAUCUCACCUGCUAACAGAAAUGGAGCUUCAGAUGUGUAUGUGGAUCUUACAAUGCAGUUGUUGGAGCAUCAGACUGGGCCGCAGAGGUGGAAAUCCAAUGAUGUUGCCUCAAAUGGCGAUUGAAAUUUCUUCCUCUGUUACUCAUGAUCCUCUUUUUUUAAAAAAAUGAACCAGGCAAAAAAAGAAGAUGGAAGCUAGGAUCGAGGAAUACGACGAAUGAGAAAACAACAACUCAACAAACAUGCGCCGCACCAUCAAAGAUCCUCAGCUCUGAGACUUGCAAACAUAGCGUAGCAGCAGGAAUGGAAGAGGCAGGCACAGGAGAGCGAGCGAGGGUAGCACAGGUCGGCUUCCAACCAGAGCUCGUGCUCCUCUGCAUGCCCCUUCCACUGCUGCUGCUACAGCCAGAAAACUAGCGCUGAUCCCUACCAUUACUCCUAAAAAAAGCUCUACCACAUGACCAUGUCUUCCCAAGUCACUGGUGCCCCUAUUUGUAGGUAGGCAGCAGCCAUGGUGUACUGAUGCACUGAUGCUCGCUCACUCCAGUAGUACAAGCUGCAGUACACAUGGAGAAGAGCUCUGCUCGGCGGCUUGUACUGCAGGGCCGCCAGGUUUCCGAGUGUACUGGCGGUUUUCAGUUGUACACUCACUUGUACUGCAGCAGCGCUGGGCAACGGCGACGGCUAAGCCACACAUCCCAUCGGCGAGGUGGUCUACGAGCCACAGGCUUCACUUUCAAACCCUCGCCGGUCGCCUUUGUCCUGAUGCAGCGCGCGCGAGAGAGAGGUUUUCUUCUCCGUUGGUUGCGUGUUUGAUUUUCUAUCACCUGCCGGCUAUAGUUGGCCAAAUCGGACAGGCCCGCCGGGCCGGUACUGGCACAGCCCAAGAAAGCAUAGCCCCAGAACGAUCUAGCAUGUGGCCCAUCGUGCCAGUGCCAUGCUAGUGCGUGGCACAGUGCCGUGCCUGGGCCACAUUCGCGGCACGCGCCACUAGCACGGGCAUGGCACGCUUAAUGAGCCGACCCGGGGGUGGCACAACGAUGGCCUGUUGGGGGAGGGCUACUGCAUAACGCGGCGCGUCGGCCGCCGCCUCCCCCAACCCUAACCCUAAUCCAUUUCUCUCCUCUCGCUCAACUCACCAUGCCACUCGUUUUCUCCUCCCUUGCUCUCCUCUAUGUGACUCGCCCCUCUCUCCUCCGUCCUCUCGUCUUCUCGGGCUCCGGUGGCCUUGAGCCGCCAGGGGCCGGCACUAGCACACGGCAUGCCUAUCUAGACCCCUCAUCUCGAUCUCGUACAGACGAUGUAGCGUCCUCCUCUCCUUGUCAUCCACCUCAUCAUCUCCGUCGUUGUCGACCUCGCCGUCGCCGGACUCCGGCAACUCUGGUGCUCCGGAUCUAGGGUAAGACCUCUUCCCUUGAAUCCUCUCUCUCUCUCUCCAUGUAUGUGUGAGUGUGUGUGUAUCUCAGUCUCACUGUCUCUCAAUCUUUCUACUGAUGUAGACUAGAUCCAUUGAGAAACCAGAGGGCUGGAUCCGUGCUUCAUCGCCAUCGCCGGCGAUCCUGGUGCUCCAGCUCCAAAGGUACGAGGACAACCUUAACCCUAGAUCUAGGAUCAUCUCUUCUCUCUAAUAUUUUCCUAACCCAAAUCUUGUUUGUUUUGUAGCUGUUGAGGAACCAGGUCACUGGCGAGUGACGAUGGCCGGCUCUGACGAUGAGACGGUUGAGGUGGGUAUGAACGAAGAGCAGCAGUUGUGCGGGUUGGCUGGAGAUGACGACGAAGAAGUUGUUGAGACUUUUAGUGCUUCUGUUAAUUGUGUGUGUCUAACCUCUGACAUUUGGUCUAAUAAUGUCAAAGAGGACAGUUGUUGCUCACUACAUAAACUCUGACUGGCAACUAGAGAAGAGGGUGCUUGAUCUAGUUCAUAUUGAUGUGUCCCAUAAUGGAUAAAAUAUUGCUGACCGUGUUGCAUCUGUGCUGGCUGAUUAUGCUUUGACUGAAAAGGUGUUUGCUGUUACUUUAGACAAUGCAUCAUCUAAUGCUGCAGCCAUGCAAAAACUGAGACCUGUCCUAUCUAAGUACCUUGGUUUUUGAGGUUAUUGAUAAACUAGAGUAUGCAUCAUCUAAUGCAGUUAAUUCUAUAUUCUUGCAUUAGCGUUGUGCAUGUCAUAUUAUCAAUCUGAUUGUUAAGGAGGCCCUAACUGCUCUUAAGCCUUCGAUAGAAACAUUUAGAACUGCAAUAUCAUUCUUAAAUUCCUCUAAUCAGAGAAUUGCUGCAUAUAAAAGUUACUGCAUUGCAACUGGUGUUAUGCCUAGAAAGUUUCAACUGGACAUGGAUGUUAGGUGGAAUUCUACAUUUCUAAUGCUUAAGCAUCCAUUUUCUCAUAAGACCCUUUUCACUACUUUCAUCUAUGCUCAGUAUCCUAGGACCGAAGGUGAGCCCUUAUUGUUAACCGAUGAGCAUUGGGUUGUGGCACAAAAAAUGCUAUCAUUUCUUGAGCUAUUUUAUGAUUCAAUAGUUGCAUUAUCUGGUAUGUAUUAUCCUACAUCUCCACUUAUGAUUCAUUAUCUUGUUAAAAUUGCUCUACACUAAAAAAUUAUGCUAAUGAUGUGCGCAUCAGAUCUAUGGUUCAACAUAUGAUAGAUAAAUAUAUUAAGUACUGGAGGGGCAUAGCUUUACUUUAUUCUUUUGCAUUCAUCUUGAAUCCUAGAGCUAAAAUGAAAGAUUUUACUAGGGUGCUUAGAAGGUUAGGUAGUCUCACCAGUACAGAUUAUACUGGUGAGACUUACUGAUGUGUACAAUAAGUAUAAUGAGAAAUAUGGUGCUGUUAGGUUGAGGAGGACUGACCCUCCUAUCUUAUCUGGUAAGUCAAGAUCUGUUUGGGAUGAAAUUUAUGAUGAUGGUGGUGGUGCUGGUUUGGAUGGUGGUAUUUUGCCUGGUAGUCUUAACAUGUCUAGAGAUACAUCUACAACUUCUCUACCGCAUGUGGUAAGGUCAUCAGCUUCUAAUGCUUCUGAACUUGUGUCCUACUUAGACUAUGACACUAUCAACCAUCUAACUGAUGAUUUUAACAUCUUGAAUAAGCACAAACUUACAUAUCCAGUACUCUCAAUCAUGGCAUGGCUAAAGAUAUCUUAAUUGCUCCUGUGUCUAUCAUAUCUUCAUAAUCCACUUUUAGUAUGACCGGUAGGAGCGGCGAAGGAAGCUGAAGCCUGAAAUGGUAGAGAUCCUAACCUCCAUCAAGGACUGGGAAGCUGCCUGUGGAGAACAAGGAACUUGAAGAAGCAUUUGAAAGACUUUAUCAUGAUUCAUAAACAUUUAUAUAAUGGGACUGUAAUAUUUUGCUAGUCUGCUGGUGCUGGUUCUAGACUUUGUGCCGUUGAUGUAAGAGUAAGACAAUGAACUUUUUAAUGGAGCUUGGCUAUACUCUUUUCCUGUCCAUAGUUUCUUCUCUCACAAGGGUGGGUUUUACUUCGACAUGUUUUUAAUGAGGUAGCCAUUGCACUAAACUUCUAAUAAAUUGGUAUUUCGUAAUUUUUUUGUGUUUGUGAUCUCUUGUGUAGCUGCUCCGUGACUUGUGUGAGGCACUUUGUGCCGGUGCCGGCAUGGGCACUACCGUGCCCUGUGGCACGCCCCGGCAUGGCCACUGGCACAUAGUGUUGUGUCGUGCUAAUGUCGAGACAUCGGCACGGCGGCACUAAUGGGCACGACAUGGCUGAUAAGCCGUGCCACUUAGUGCCGUGCCGCUUAGUGCCCGUGCCCGUGCCGUGCCGUGCGGCCCAUUUGGCCAACCAUACUACCGGCGAAUCAAAGUAAGCGAAGAACAGCAGUCAGGCUGCAAAGUCUAGCUGAAGUACAACACUAAGGGUCCGUUUGGUUGCGAUUCAGUCGACCGAUUCACGUCACAGAAUCUACUAUCGCAACCAAAGGGGUUGGACGGGCGCAGCGAUUCUCUGGAAUCAACCGAUUCCGCUAGUUCAGUCCGAAAUCGGCUGGCACCCCAGAUUUCCACAGAUUCUACCCGUUAUUUACCCACCACUGCCAUCGGAUGAGCAUACCGCUUCGUUCUUGAAGCGUCCCCCCAUCAGGGAAGACUUAAAAGUGUUACUUUAUCAGUCCCAGGAGGCUGAUAACACUUUCAUUACAUCAGAUGGUACAUCACCGUACAACUCUUCGCGGUAACGGGCAGUGAAGCGCCACUAUCGCGAGGAUUACAACAAAAACCCAUACUACUACACUAACUACGAACAGGGGAUCAUCAGAGUCUUGCGCCAUGCGGAGCUCCAACGGUGACCUCACCCACAGGCAAGACUGGGUGCAGGACGGAACCCUACUCGUUGUCUUCGGGGACGUAGUCUGGAUCUUCCACUGUAAAAGUAAGAAGGGGUGAGUACGAACGUACUCAGCAAGUCCAAUCACACCCACGGAGGGGUAUAACAGAAGCUAAUGCACAGGACAAUCCAAGGAUAAGGUUAGGGUUCAUUUGCGGAAAACUCUGUUGUAUGCAGAAGUUGUUUUAAAAACAUUUUUAAAACGAGUUUUCUUGUACCAAGGAGCACACGGUGUUGAUCCACACAGGAUCCAAGUUUUUAAACUGCUACCGGACUCCCCGUCCGCCGUAGCACACGGCACAGCUGCCGGACACUUUCCAAACAACUCACACCAGCCCAUCUAUUCCCGGAGAUAAACACUAGUUAUGUGACCACACCGUAACUUGCCCAGUACCGUGGGCACGGCUAUUCGAAUAGAUUUUAACUCUGCAGAGGUGUACAACUUUACCCACAGGUGGGGUACACAACACGAUCACCUUAGUGUCGGUGCAGAUCCCAACAAAGCCAUUACCCACCUUAGCUAGACCUGACUAGCCAUCACGGGAUCCACCAAGGGAUCAUUCGACCUAUCUCCGAGGUUUGACCAGGGCAUAAGUCACACAGAGCUUAUCCCUUCUCCUUGAUCACCCGUUGCUCUCAGCUCUCCUGAUGACUAUCAGGCUAACUAGUGGGAUUUAUGCUAAGCCGUUGCCCAUACAACGGUCAAGUGGUUCGCACGACGAGAAGCUAGGUGAGAUGUCACAUCAACUCGGUCCUUAGGGGUGACAGGAUGGAUAUCUUCCUUCCUUGCCCUACCACACAGGUACGAGCACACCAACGGCAAUUCACACAGAAAUGCCAUCCAUCCCGUCCGACUCGUCUUUCAAAACCAUAUUUUUAUCCCUUCCCACACGCACACAUUUUCUUUAUAAAAUCAGGUGGUCAAGGUAGGGUUAUCUCAAACAAGGGUGGCUAUCCUACCAUGUUUUCAGCACGCAAACCAUGCAAUUUUAUAAAACAGGCCACUGGGUUGUGUUUAUAAAAACUAGGACAGAAACAUGCAUCAAAGGGCGGAAUUGAACUUGCCAUCGUCAAACUCUUGCGGGAGGUCCUGAUCGUAGCACUGUCCCUCGGGCUCGGAGUCGCGGAACUGGUUCUCGUUCGCUUGAUCACAGUCGAGGCCUUCCUCGUUCACUCCGUGUCCUACGACGCAAACAAACAGACACACAAUCAAGCACAAGAACUAAAAGCUUUUAUCGUUGAGCUCGAAUCGGAAAUAAUUUAGUUACGGAGGUAGGGUUAAUAUUUUCGGGUGGUUUCUUAAUGGUAUGGCUAGAACUACUCUAGAAAUGGAGUGGUAAAGUUUCGGGUCGAUCGGAGGUUAUUUCGCACAUAAAAUGACGAGCUAAAGAGGGUUCGGGUGGUUGAACAGGGCUCUAGGGGUUUAUUCGUAGGUAUCUGGAAAUAGCAGGGACCUUUUUGUAAAUCCCAGAAAUUCUCGGGGCAUGCUAAAGAGUGUCAAAUGUAUCUAGGUUCCAGUAUUGGAGGGUUCAAUUUGAAUUAAUAGGAAGAACGAGGUCUCUUUUGCAAAAAGGGAAUGAAUAGGGGAGUGUUCAUGGAAAAGGAGGGGUUUUGGGGGAAAAACAGGGAAAAGGGAGGGGCUAUGGGCAAAAUGCCCUUCUCCUUCCUCUCCCCCGUGCAAAACAGAGGAGGGGGAGGGCAGGGCGCCGGCGACGGCCCAAUCCGGCCGGUCAGGGCACGGCGGCGGUCCGGGGGUGGGGGAAAAGAGAGAGGGGGGCACGGGUAUCCUUUCCCCGGCCUCACCUUGGGCCGAGGUGGAGCGAGGGAGCGCGCCCACGGGAGCAAGCGGCGGCGGGCGGAGGCGUUUGCGGUGGCGGCGCUGUGAGCUAGGGGAGGGGCGGGCGGUGGCAGUGCAAGCCGUGGGGGAGGUGGCGGCUGCUCGGGGCCUAUUUAUAGGCGGCCGAGCGGGCGGGCGGGUGGUGGCCGGCGGAGCGGCUUCGGGACGGCCAUUAAUGGCGCUUGGCCGUUCGCGGACGUCGUGGAGCGGCGUGGUGGCGAGGGCGCCGAGGUACCGUACGUGGAGCUGUGCCGGCACAGGAGCAGGGAAGCGAUGGCGUGCGCGGUGGGGCGGAAUGCGGCACGGCGGGCGGCGCGUCGUCGCAGCUCGGCGUGCGUGUGCAGGCGACGUGCGGCACGGCGGGCGGCGCGGCACGCGGGGCACGCGCGGGCGCGCGCGUGCGCGGGUGGCGCGACACGGCGCGGGCCAGGGGCGUGGUGCGGCCGGCGGUCGGCACGGCGCGGCGCACGGUCACGCGUCGCGCGUGCGUGCGUCGCGGCGCGGCCGGGCAGGAGCUCGCGCGCGGCGCGGCGAGGGCUCGUGCGUGGCACGGCAGGGGCUAGCGCGCGGCCGGGGUGUGCGCGCGGGGUGCUCGGGCGCGCACUCGCGCGUGAGGGAAGAGGGCCGUGGCUCGGGCCAAGCAGGAGAGGGCGGCGUUCGGGAGCAGGGGAGAGGAGAAGGGAGGAGAAGGGAAAUGGGAAAAGAAGAAAGGGAGAAAGAAAAGAAAGAGAGGGAAAAAGAAAGGAAAUAGGAGGGAGAGAGAAAAAGAGAAAGGAGAAAGGGGAGGGAGAGAAAGGGAGGGGCGCGUCGGCACCGAUCGCGGCGGCGACCGCGGUCGGUCGGCCACGCGCGAGCGUCGACCGCGCGCUGCGCGAGAAGCACAGCAUUGCACCGGCGCUGAUCGCGGAAAGCGGUCACGCGUAAGUGGUACGGGAGGGGACAUCGGUCAGGUCCGCUGUCGGACAGGAAGGGUUAGGGUUAGGGUUUUGGCGACGAAUGACUUUUAAAUGGGGCACUCUAGCGCGUGAUUUAAUUUGGUAGAUUUUCAGGGCGUCACAGUUCUUUUUUCCUUCCUCCCCUGACUCCUGCUCUCUCGUCUCCAACGCGACUGGGGUAGGGGCGCUGCCACCCUCCCCUGCUCCGGCGGCCGGAGUUCCUGCCCAUCUCCGGCAGCUCCUCUCCGGCCUCCCCAUCGCGACGCCCUCUGCGGCCUCCUGAGGCGCCCUCCCCCGCCGCGCCCCCCGACGCCGCUGCCCGCCGCCCCCGGGCCGGCCCCGCCGCGCCCCCCGCCGCCGCCCGUCACCCUCCCCCCCGACGUGACCCCCGCCGGCCCCGCCGCGGCCCCCCAAGCGCCGCGCGCCGCCCCCGCCACCCCGACGCGCCCCCUGCUGCGUCCCCCGCCGCCCCCUGCCACGUCCCCCACCACCCCCCCCCCCCCGCCGCGCCCCCUGCCGCCCCCUCGCCGCCCGCCCCCCGUGCUGCUCAAGAAAAACAGAGAAAGAGAUAAGGAACGGGAAAAGGGAGAAGGGAAAAGGGGGAAAAAGAAAAGAAGAAGGGAAAAAUAGAAAGAAAAAAAAAGAGGAAAGAAAUACAGAGAAAAAAAUAAAAGAAAAAAAAUUGUUCAAUUAUUUUUAUAACGUGGAUAUAUAUUUUGUAUAAAUUAUUAUAUAUGUCAAAUAUUAACAAAUAUGAAUAUUUCCUUUCCAAAACGGUCAUCUACAUGUCCAUACGAUUAAUUAGCAUAUAAACAGCCUUACGGGAUCUUAGGGGCAUAACGGACAUUUCUUACAGAAAUCUACAGCUGACAGUUGUUUCACCAAACAGCUUUCAGCUUUCCCACAGCUGUCAGCUCACAGCAGCUUUCCCACAGCUGAUUCCAGAAAUCAGAUUUUCAGAAAUCCACAGCUGAACCAAACACACCCUAAGUCUAUAGGGUGCUAUAAGUCGAUACUGAGUGCUCAUUUUGUACAUACUGACUGCAUGCCAGUGUUCUUAUUUCAUUAUUUCUGACCAGGUAUUUCAAGACAUAAAACUACAGUAACCAACUGCGGCCCUUUACAAAGUUUUUGCGUCAAUUCAUGUUGAAGGGAUUGACUCUGAUAGGAUUUUGUUUUCGCAAGCACAAGGGAGCACGUGAAUACUGAAUCAGGUGUAGUGAGUGAGUAGUGGUUGCGCAGUCAUAUCCUGUCUUGAAAACAUCGGAUUGGAAAUCAGGUAGGUGAUCAUGCUCUGUUUGGUAGAUUUAUCAUCUAAGCAAACAUCCACCCAACCAACUGGGACCAAUACAAUUAACAGAGAAAAUUCAGCCAAAAGAAAGGUUAAUAAGGUACCUCAAAUCUGUUUUUUUACUCCUCUUUGCUAAAUGAGUGCCAACUUGUCAUGUCUUAUUAGCUGAGCUAUGUAGAAAGCCAAUACUACGGUGCUACUGGCUUUUCUGAAAACAUCAACAUACUAAGAGCAGUAUGGGGCAUCUGAUCAACCAUGCGAAAAAUGCACCUUGUAUGCACCGAAAGAAAAGGGAUUGCUGAUAAUUACACUGUUGACAAUACAAAUCUUGCUUACCGAUACAAAUAAAUUAUACCUCAACUCUGCAAAUAAUUAGCCUAAAGCCUCUCGACAAAAUUUCAAGCAAUUCUACGGGAUUUAUUCACGCAAAAUUGUAUAAUAAAACAAGAAAUGGCUAGUGAAAGAAUGGACUGAGAUCAGGCAUUGCUGUCCAGAGCUCCCCUGAGUAAAUGCAACCCUUCCAAGGAAAUGCUUCUUCGUACACGGGAUCUUGGGAUCUCAAUUUGAGGGGGUGGAUUGGAUGAGAAACAUAUAACCACAACGGUCAAGUUAUCACAACUAUCCCGUUUCAGCGCUUCCUGGACUAGCUCGCCUGAGCACUUCUCUGGGUUAUUGUGUUGCAUCAGUUCUUUCCUUACGAUCGACACAGCGCAUUGACUGGUCAUCACAUCCCAAAGCCCAUCACAGCCUAUUAUUAAGAACUCAUCUUCUUCAGAAAGCACAAUCUCCUGCAGCUCAGGUUCUGCACUCAGAGGGCUAAUUGAGCCUUUUGGGCCUUUCAUGUGCCAGUCUCCAAGUGCCCUUGCUACUGCUAGCUGACCGUUAAGAUAGCCAUCAAAAACAGUACCACCUAGUUUUUCAAUUCUAAUCUUCUCACUCUUGCAGGUGGGUUUAUGGUCUCUCGAUAGUUCCACUGCUCGACCUCUUUUUCCUAGAACAGCUCGGCAAUCACCUGCAUUUGCAAUGAACAGUGUCCUGCAGUGCAGAAACAUGGAAAAUUUUGCUGAAGAGCCAAAAAAUAGAUCCAAAAAAAGUAGUUCUGCAAGGUUCAGAGAGAAUAAAGACUUAGCCACGUCACGUGUACUAUUGUGGCAAGUGAGUCCCGCAAACAACAUAAACAUGCACUGUAGUUGCAUCUGCUUUUAGAACAGUUAUCAUACUUUUAAGGCUUGAAUCAAUUGAGUAAGGAAAGAAGAUGUAUGACAAACUCUAAAAGAAAGAUUGCUGAAAUUGUUCUACUGAAUAGCCAGAAUGGUAUCAGAUUUUAAAUGAUGCUGCAGAAAAGGAGAAAACUAGCACCAUAUAACUAAUCCACAGUCAAUGACAAUCACCAAAUAUCUAAAUUUUAUAAGACAUACAAAGUUGAUCUGGAAUAUAUUAAGCAACAGAUGCUAGUCAGUGGUCGCAUACUCGGAUGUUCAUUGUAUGUUUUGUAGGCAAGGAUUUCCAGCAUUUAUUGAAGGACGCACGGCACACAUUCUAAUUUAUUUUAUGCUUGGUAUCAUCAUUGGACAAUAACCAAACAAUAAUUAAGAAUUGGUUCACAAAAAGAAACAUUUUGAUGCAUUGACAUCGAAAAUUCACCUGCCAAAUAUAAGAGCCGUCAAUGCAGUGGUUCCAGAACUGUUGUCAAGGGAAUGGGAAUCUGCUAGUGCAUGAUCAGCCUUCAGAAAUGCACCUCUUAUUGCCUUUUCAACAUUCGUGGGGAAAUGCAUAUCUUCAACAAUGAAUUUGAGUAAGUUCUUGCGAACAAAACAUGCUGCAUCUGUACCGCCAUGACCAUCAAACACCUGCAUUUCGGGGUACAGUAAAUGAUUGCACUUCAAAUUAAGAAGGUUCUUGCCCCACUCAGAUAAUGGCACAUAUGCACAACUCUUGUUUCAACAUGGAAGCAAAUAACGAAGCAGCUGUUAUCAUGUUGGUGUUGCAUUCAUAACUCAUAAGCACCAAGAAGACUUCUAGUGCCUGUUUGGGGUGUAGGGAUUAUGUAGGUAUUUCACAGUAAACAGUUCGAUUCUCGAAGAAACAAGGAAAGCUUCCCAAUUGUUCUCCAUGUUUUUUUAGCACUUCUUCUUUGACAAUUAUCACUAAAAAAAGUACCCCACCAGACAAUCAGACUGACCAUACUCCAAUUCAAGCUGAACGGAGUAGCAUAUGUAACAAUGAUUGCAACACUAUCAUCACCACCAAAUUGUCCGUUCAAAGACAGAAAACAAAGAUCAAUUAUACGUUUACACCACCAUCUCCAUACUUACGUGAAUGGAACCUGACAUGCCAGCGAGAACUCACCCCGUAGAAGGCGCCCGGGGCAGGGAUGCCGGCGGCGCGCCCCCCGAGGUGCUCGAUGAGGUUGUCCACACAGACGUGCUCGUCCUCCAUAUACGAUUUGGGCCCAGUCUCAGCGCAGCUCCCCGAUCGGAACACGGGCAGGAACCCAGCCCGGACGUCGGUGGGCGAGAUCAAGCUCAUCGUCCCCAAAUCCAGGCCCUGCAACGCAUAAAAGCCUUCUAAUUGUGCGUGCGAAGCGAGAAAUCACGCGGCAACGGGUUGUCGGGCUACGGGUGCUCACGUAGUCGGGGGACGACGCGGCGGCGGCGGCGAUGCGCGCGCUGCUGGCGCAGUGGCGAAUCGAGGUGAGGUGGUGGCGCGGCGGCUUGCCGACAGCGGCAUCCAUGGAAGGGCUGUCCGGCGGGGUCUGCGGCUCCACGCCUCCAUUCAUGUCUCUUCAGUCAAUCUGUAAUGAUGGAAAAACCAUGAUGAUUGCAUUGGUUACGGUCGUCCAUCUGAACAUGCAACAAUCUGUAGUUUUUUUUUCGCUCUUUUGUUCUCCGAUCAAAUCAGAAUCAUGAUUUCGUGAAAGAAAACUGAAAUUUGCGUUCGAGGUACCAAAAGGAAUUUCCACCGUUAAAAUUACAGGUGAAAAAUAACGCUAUCGGAUAAGUUAAUUAGCACAAUUAAGAGAGAGGGAGACUGGAAUUUAUGGUUGAAAUUCAAUAAAGAGCGGAAAUAAACACUGUUGUUGCUCAGUGGCCGCGGAUUGCGGUUAAAUAAAAAGAGAAAUUUCUGAAGACGAGGUGUUUCGAUGGGGUUAGAUCGAGAGAGACCGCCGGGAACGCAGGAGAGGCUUACCGGGGAACCGUCGCCGCCGUGCGCGAGUGAAGGAACGGUGGCGGAGGGAGAGGAUUCCGCUUUGCUGCCGAGCGGGCGAGGACGGAAGGAAGGAGCGGAGGGGUCGUCGUCGACGCGGAGGGGUGUUGUGGUGGUGGCCUGGAGGAAGGGGGAGCCCGAGACGAGGAGACGUGGUGCUGGGCAGGGCUGCUCGGCUAGGCUCUGGUCUGGCUCGGCUUGGACCAAGCGCGUGCCCGCCGGCUUUUUGGUGUGGGCCGCCCGAGCCGAGCUAGCCUCGUGACCCCGCCCGCCGCGGGCGGCGGAUCCGCGGCAAGCGGGCGCUCUCUUUCCGCCGCCGCGUUGCGUGCCUGGCCGGUGGGCGGUUGGCGGCGGCCGGGGUCGGUCGCCACGGGAUCGGUGCCGGUAUGCGUCUGUUCACGGUUUCUGACGAGUUGGCUUUUGUGAUCGCGUCAUGUUCACGUGGCCAGCAGGACACAAAUUUGAGGUAGUGGACUACUCAUGGUGACACGAUAUCUUUAUAGAUCAAGUCAUCAUCACGAUGAUGGAAAACUGAAACAAACACACAGCAGUCCCAACAGGAAAUGAAAUCUGAAGGAAGCCUGUACGAGUUCAGUGAUGACUACACCUCACAGAAACAGAGAUCCAUUUCUGCUACGCCGUCCGUCUCUCUCGGCAAACCAGUAUGUGUACUCUCUAUGGAGGAACACCGGGCAGUGAACCCUAGCGCAACAAAGUUAUCCUGCCCUCUUCCAGAUCGAUCGUAAUGUACGUACGUACGUGUUUCGUUACAGUCGUUUCUGAAGAGAACACGGCCCCCUCAUGCCUCGUACACCUUGCACUCGUCGGUCGCGGGGUUGUCCUUGCAGAAGUCCUCCAGGGGGUCGCCGCUGCCCGCCGCCGCCGCGCCCGGCCACUUGGCCGCCACCAGGUGCGCCAGAUCGACAACGCGCUGGCUGCACGCGCGCGUUCAACAACAAUCCCAGCAUCAGCAAAUGCCAAUUCAGUUCCAGAAUACUAGUCGUAAUAACCAUGUGGUUUAACCUGGCUCCCUCACCUGUAUCCCCACUCGUUGUCGUACCAGGCGACCACCUUGACCAUGUCGUCGCCCAUCACCAUGGUGAGCGAGGAGUCGAUGGUGGAGGACACGUCGGAGCACCUGAAGUCGACGGACACGAGCGGCACGUCGCAGACGUCCAGGACGCCCUUGAGCGGGCCGCCGGCGGCCUUGCGGAACGCGCCGUUCACGUCGUCGGCCGUGAUGCCCUUCUUCUCGGUGUUGAUCACCAGGUCCACCACCGACACGUUCGGGGUCGGCACGCGGAGCGCGAUGCCGUUCAGCUUCCCCUUCAGCUGGGGCAGCACCAGCGCCACGGCCUUGGCGGCGCCGGUGCUCGUCGGCACGAUGUUCAGCGCCGCCGCGCGGGCCCGCCUCAGGUCGCGGUGGGACGCGUCCAGCAGCCUCUGGUCGCCGGUGUACGAGUGGGUCGUCGUCAUGGUUCCCUUCACGAUCCCUGCACAUCUCUCUCAUUCAGGCGUGUCUUGUGGGUGAGGGUACUUUAUCAGAUUGCAUUGGGUGGUCGGUCAGGAAACAGACUAAGUUCUCACCGAACUCCUCGUCCAAGACCUUGACGAAUGGGGCGAGGCAGUUGGUCGUGCAGGAAGCGUUGCUGCAAGCAACAGAGUUUUGAUUGCAGAUAUAUAAAUGUUAGCAUGAUACGGACAGAGACCUCUGAAUGACAGGAUGCAGAGCAGUGCUGAAGAGCACUGAAGCUAGCUUAAUUACCUGAUGAUGUCGGCCACACCGUGGUCGUAGUCGCCCUCGUUGACACCGACGACGUAGGUCGGGAUGUCGGCGCCCUUGGCCGGAGCAGUGAUGAUGACCUUCUUCGCGCCGGCCUGGAUGUGCUUCCCGGCGCCCGGGCCGUCGACGAAGACUCCGGUACCCUUCACGCACGACACAGUUCAGCACCGUCAGUUUCCCCGGCCGUGUUAGGCAACCGAAGCAUGCAUGGGGAUCUGUAUGUACCUCGAUGACAAUGUCGAUGCCGAGGUCAGCCCAUGGGAGCUUGAGCGGGUCCCUGUUGGAGACGACCGUGAUGAGCUUGCCGUCAACGCUGAUGGUGGUGUCGUCGACGAUCUUGACGUCGGCCUUGAAGGUGCCGAGCAUCGAGUCGUACUUGAGGAGGUGAGACGCCUGAAAUGAAACCCAAACGCGAAUCGAGAGUUCUCUGUCAGAAGAAUGCGUGGCGAGGCAGAGGAGUGGAUCUGAAGAACAAGCUAGCGGCGGCUUCAUGAGCUGACGGCGUCACGUACGUUCUUGACGCCUCCGCUGUCGUUGAUGACGACGACAUCGAGCGGGGAGUCCUCGCGGCCGUGCCAGCAGCGGAGGAAGUUCCGGCCGAUGCGGCCGAACCCGUUGAUCGCCACCUUGAGCUUCGCCUCAGCGGGCGCCCUCACGGCGUUCUCUCCGGUGGCCUGUCACAGGUUAACCAACAAGCCGAAUGAAGCAGGAGUGGCAUCCAUGCCAGCCAAAUGAAGCCAAAUUUUGGGCAAAUCAAAACUGGGAGGAAUAUUCUGACUGCACGAUGCAAUACUGAAAAUCGACGAGUGUGGUUAUCAAAGGCCAUAGUUUGGGUUCUGCUGUGAUUCUGGGUUCUUCUUCUUUAAUCCACUGACACAAUACUCCUAAGUCAAUCUUUAGCAAAUGAACAGAUCAAACUGUCACUCAUACAGCAGUAACCUAAAUGUAUAACGGUACCAUUUAUACUGUAUGUUAGGUGCUUGCACUAUCUAAUACUGUAACAACAAAAAAGAAGUAAUUGGAACGUAAGCUGAACAUGAUGAAUCUAGCUGUACUACCUUUCUUGGAUCUACUCUUCAAUCGUUUUUCAUCAAUGGUGCGUUUGGAUGUCGAUAUAUGAAGGGUUGGCAUUGAAUUGGGUUCAAUACCAAUUCAAGCAUGGUAUUGAAAUAACUACAAUUUGAAUUCUAUUGUUUGGAUGCCUGCUGUAUUCCCUUUUGGAAUCGUUAGAAGCAGUCAAAUUCAAUUCACGUUUGGAUGCGCAAAAGGAAGAUAUGCAUAAUCGAGACUGACUGAUGUUCUGGUGAAUGCGAAUUAACGGUUGGAUAAUUCAACUAUGAUCUGUGCACGCUACGUUUUUACGGUGAACAGGCACUAGAUUUCCUUACUCUGCAAAGCACAUACGAAAGCAUGCUCUCGAUACACAAAACCUACAUGUAUUUGGCAGAGCUGCGAAGUACGUACCUUGGCGACGAGCUGCGCACCGAGCACGUCGGAGAAGGACGCCUCCCUGGCGGCGGCGCUGACGGAGCAUGAUCCCGGCCUGAGCCCGGAGAAGUCGGCGAAGUCCACCCUCUGCGCACGCACGCACAUUAGUCGUCACCCAUCACACCGGCGGUGCCCAUCACCAGAAAGAGACCGAAAAUGUUCAUCUAUCGAUCAGCAUCUCCGGCACGCACGUACCUGCCUGGACGCCGCCCUGCUGUGCAGCCGGGCGCUGGUGGGGAUGCGCGACGCGGCGAGAGCAGCGUGGGUGGCCAUCGUGCGCUGCCUGUUGCCGGGUGCCGUGCCGAUGCCAAGCCAGCCAGACGAAACUGAGCCGGCGGCGGUGCUCUGAAUUUAUGCGCUGCCUGCCGGCCGAGGGUCGCGUCGCGUCCGGGGAUCACUCGCUCGCCGCCUGUGGCGCGGGGCGUGGUAGGAGGAUAAGGCGAUUGCGUGCGCCGCAGCCACCCGUUGGGCCGGGCGAUAUCCGAUGUGUGGUGGGCGGUAGGAGCGAGACGCGCGAGUAUCCCGAGUCCCGACGCUGCGCGUCACUGUUUCUGCUGUUGGGGUUCUUGUCCGCGUGCUACCGGAGCCUGUGGGUCACAGCGAGGGGCUCAUCUUUUUUUGUCAUUUUGAUCGGGACGACGGCCGUUUUUGUGUGUCCUGAGUGAUCCGUGUUUUUGGGGCCAUCCGUCGGCAGAUAUGUUCGAUCGAGUGAUCAGUAUUUGUGCAUGGUGAGGAUGGACUGACUGGUUUGUGUGAUUGUUCGUCACCCUACGUUCUUGGCUUCUCGCAUUCGUGGUCGUUCGGGACGGUGUUGUCUGCAUCUUUUAUCCGUGGCACCUCUUGUUCGCUUUGAUGUCGUUUUAGCAUUUCCAUUUCCAUUUUCUUUUAUUUAAUUUUGCGGUUUAUUAUCAAUCAUCGCACAAUAAUAUUAUUUGCAUAAUAUGGUUCCUUGGCUCCUUGCCAAAAGAAAACAAAAGAGAAUAGACAACAGCAUAGGUAUUUCGUCUAUUACAACAUGCCCACUUGGAGCAUGGGAUAGCUGAAAAACUGCAAAAUGGUAUGUUGUGCAAAAGGCCGGGCUUGGGCCUUGUUUGAUGUCCGUCUGCUUCAGCAGCCUGUACAAUAGCCUUCCCGGACGGGCCCGAACCCAAACCCAAGCUGGGCUCAAGCUAGCUCAACCGACCCAAAACGCACCCACCAAACAAAAAUUAAACGCCGACACCCCCUUUGCCGGCGCCGCCACUACCCCCCGCCGCCGGCUGGUACACGUCUCCUCCGUUCCACGCUCCUCGCCGCCGGCUCCGCCUCGUGCCACGCCGCCGCUUGCCACCAUGCUGCAGAGCAAGUCCUUCGUGAAGAAGACGAAGCAAGGUCGCAUCCAAAAGGUCAGUACUCGGCAACACCACCACCUCAAGAGGCCGCCCCAAACCCUACCUGACGCCGUCGCUCUCUCUCCGCAGGUCGUCAGGGAGCACUACCUCCGUGACGACAUAUACUGCGGCUUCGUCCCCUGCUCCGCCUGCGACACCGCCGCCGAGCGCAAACUCGACGCCGCGGCGGCCGCCAUCCUCGUCGUCGACACCAACGUCGUGCUCCACCAGGUAACCAAAGCGUUACUCAGUCUCCUGCUUAGCCUCCUUGUCGGAUAUAAGGUUGAGGGCGUGGAGGAAUGAUGAGUUGAGAUGUUGCGUCAGAUCGAUUUGCUGGAGAAUCCGGCGAUUGAGGAUGUCGUCCUUCUGUCGGUGGUCCUGGACGAAGUGAAGAAUAAGAACCUUGCCGUUUUCAACAGGAUCAAGGCACUAUGCACCAACAAAGCACGGAGGUUUUACGUUUUCGCCAACGAGCAGCACAGGUGGGCCCAUGUUCUACUAUGGUGUUCUCAUCGGUAAUUUUUAUUUAGCUUGCUAUGCUCUCUUGCUAGAUUAUGAACCAAUAGUUGCCAGGUUCAAAUUCGUAGUCAAUAGAAUAUUGCUCAUAGAGCUGCUGCCUGCUGGCGUAGUUGUAUAAAUAUAUUUGAGUUGCUAGCGUUGGAUAAAUCGAGGAAAACUCAAGGGUUAAGCUAAGAUUACUCGUGCGUGCCAUCUGAUACUGUGGCCACAUUUUGUUAGAGUUAGUGUUGAGAAAUUUCUUAAAUUAGUUGAAAUUGAUGCUAUCUUUAAAAGACUUUCUUCAAGACUUCAAAUGAUGUUUGCUUCAAGCCACAUACUCCUUUAACCUGCAGCAUAAGUUUUGACCCCCAUUUUUCACAGUUUGAGCAUGAUUGUAUUCACGAAAUGUCUUUAUGCAAGCACCAUGACUGCAUAAUUACUUAUUAGUUUCCUGGAAAGAAUUACAUUGCUAUCUUUAAAUACAGCUUUCAUAAUGCAAAGUUGUCAAUGUGUGUCUCAGUUUCUUACAAGUGUAGGCUCUUCCUUACACUGCCUCUUUCGAAGUGAAAUAGAAGUGGAUGAACUGCAUGAUAAAAGGGCAAUAAUGCUUAUCUUUCUACAGAACUAGGUCAAGCACAGUGAUGUAUGUUGGCAGUAAAAACAGCAACUAUCGAUUUAUAUUCUCAAUAUUUUAUAGGAUCUAAUUGCCUAUCAAUGGGACACAAUUUUGAAAUCUAAAUGCACACAUUACAGCUUCUAUUUGUGUACCCCUGUUAAUCUUGUAACCUAUUUAUACCAAAACUUGCAUCUUGGCAGCAACCUUCUCUUUCCCCUGCCAUAUAAGUUUCUCAUUUACUCGAAAAAACAGGGAUACUUAUGUCAAAGACAUGGUUGGGGAGAGCUCUAAUGAUCGUAAUGACAGAGGUAUGGUUUUGUUAACUUGGUUAUGUGAUUCCACAUAUUCAUUUCCUAUCAUAUAUAUAGGACACUGGUAUGUAUUUUCAGACACUGAUUAUUUUCCAAUCCAGCAAUUCGUGUUGCCGCUCGUUGGUACCAAAGCCAUCUUGGUGGGAGUGUGAAGGUUCUGCUGAUUACAAAUGAUAGAGAUAACAAAAGGAAAGCUAUUGAAGAAGGCCUUAAUGCUGAGACAGGUGGAUAGCACGCUGCAAUGAAUUUGUAGCUUAAUCUUUUUAAGUACUGAAGAAAUGAUUUUAUAUAGCCACAACCUCAAUAAAAUAUUUCUUGUUCCAGUUGAGUCAUAUGUAAGGUCGCUUGCGCAGCCUGGUUUGCUUGAUUUGGUGGUGGUUUCAACUAGUGGAGAUGUUACCAUGGAAGAUGUAGAAGAUCAUAGACCAUCCAAGAAGAAAGUAAUCUACAGUGAGGUAUGCUAACUGUACACGAGUGCUUUGUUGAUUUCAUUUAUGCUGUAGCGUGUAACGUAUCCCUCUGUUUGCUUGUUAUUAUCUCAGCACAAACCAAUGUCAGAAAUUACAUCUGGUCUGCGGUGUGGAAUCUACCAUCAAGGGAAGCUUCGAGUUAAUCGUUACAAUCCAUUUGAAGCUUAUGUUGGAAGUGAGAGCAUUGGUGAUGAGAUUGUUAUCCGCGGACGCUCAAAUAUGAACAGGGCUUUUGAUGGUGAUAUAGUUGCUGUUGAGCUCUUGCCACAAGAUCAAUGGCAUGAGUCAAAGUCAUUUAUAGCAGAUGAUGAUGGUAUUUUCUCAGUGCUGAAAGAACAAGAUGAAACACAUCUCAUUUUAUUUUCUUAUUUGGUGAAUCUUGCUGUUUUUUUUUUUCAUUUCAGAAGAAGAAGAAGAAGAUGUCCAUCUAGUACCUAAUAGUGCUGAUGAUGCUCCUCGGAACACCAGUUCCACACAAUCAACAGUUGGAUCAUCAGCUCCUUCUGUCUCUAGUCGUCCACUUGGACGUGUUGUUGGUAUAAUUAAGAGAAAUUGGAAUUCGUAAGUUUCUAUAUGUCCUGAAUGAGAUGUCUAACUGUGAUAUAUACUUCUGAUCUCGAGAUAACAUGAUACGGUGCUGGUGUUCUGCAGGUACUGUGGAUCCUUGCAGCCAAUGCCCAUGCCUGCUGGUAGUGGGGGCGUUGCUCAUGCUUUAUUUGUUUCAAAAGAUCGAAGAAUUCCUAAAAUCCGAAUUCAAACCAGACAGCUUGAGAAUCUUUUGAACAAAAGAAUUGUUGUUGCGGUUGAUUCAUGGGAUGUUUUGUCUCGCUAUCCAUCAGGUCACUACGUACGAACGAUUGGAGAUAUUGGUGACAAAGAAACUGAAACAGAGGCAAGGAUACUUAAAUUUAUGGUUGCAUCAAGUGCAGUUGCAACUUACCUUACAAAAUUUGCAUGCAAAAGCAUACUCUUGAUGGUGACAUGCUAAGCGAUGUUUAUGCAUGAAGCAGGUUGUCUUAAUAGAGAACGAUAUCAACACCAGGCCUUUCUCUACACAAGUCCUUGCUUGUUUGCCACCAUUACCAUGGACAUUAUCACCAGACGAUUUGGCCAAUCCUAAUAGACAAGACUUGCGUCAUGUGAGAGUCUUUAGUGUGGAUCCACCAGGUGAUUUAAUCAGGAUACCUGCAAUCUAUUUCUAUUUUAUGUAGCUGAGUCAAGCCCUUAUGCUUCAACUGCUGUGUAGGUUGUCGAGAUAUUGAUGACGCACUACAUUGCACAUUACUUCCAAAUGGAAAUUUUGAAGUUGGAGUCCGUAUCCUUUAUCAAUUUCUGCUAUAAAUUCUUCUAUCUAGUUCAUAUGUAGGAGUGAAUUUAUCAUGUGUUUUCUUCCUUGGUGAUCUUUCAGUUAAUAUACCUAUUUAACUUUAUUUUAGUUGGUGGUGGUUUGUUUUUGCAAAUUGUGACUAAGCCCUACCAUUAUACUUGGCUUGGAGUGUAUUUAUCGAAUUGCUUGUUUAGUAAUAAGUGGAAUUGGUUGAUAAGCAAAAAAAAAAGGGAAACAAUUUUAUUGUCCUAAACAUGCAGCAAAUGCUGCACGAGGUUGUGUCAUGUUGGAAAAUUAGUGUUAUGCAGGAGGUUUUAAGUUAAUUUAGUAUGGUGUCUGCUUGGUGUAGAUUCAAUUUGGAAUUUAGAAAUCCUUUUUCUUGAUAACUUUCAUCUUCUACCUGUUAGAUAAAAUCCUUUUGCUUCAUCUGAUUGGGUACCACCUGUUUUGAAUUGGAAUUGCCCAUCUUCCAUGACAAAAAUCCAUAAUGACAUAAAAUUGAAUUAAAUUUACAUAUUGAAAGUGGAUUCAAACAGGCUAUUGCACAAUAUGUCAUCAUCUACGUUGUACCCGUGGUGCUUGAAUUUGUUAUCUAGACCAAUUUACUUCUGGCCUCAGAUCACAAUCUUUGUCUCAAUAAGCAAUUGGUCAUGUUCAUUUAUUCUGUGGUCUGUCCUACUGAUCCACAUAAUGCAUUUCUUGACAUAGGCUGACCAGAUAUUGCUGAUGUCACUAAUUUUGUUCACCCUGGUACCCCUCUUGAUGAGGAAGCUGCGCAAAGGGGCACUUCUGUUUAUCUUGUUGGGCAGCGGAUUGAUAUGCUUCCAAAGCCCCUGACUGAAGGUGUGGAUUCUCCUUGUUGCAUACUGAAUUAACUAAACAUGAAAUAUUGCUAUUUUAAGUGAAGAAAAAACUGACAAUUUGUAGUACCUGAAUUGGCUAAUGUUUUCUUUUAUUUUGAUUUCCAGAUGUUUGUUCACUUCGUGCUGAUGUUGAAAGGCUGGCAUUCUCUGUCAUUUGGGUAAGUCUAGUUCAUGUCAUUUUGUUGUUUUGAUUCCCACUUGUUACAUGCGCAUUGCAUAGGAUAUUUCAAUUGGUAUUACCUUUUCUACUCUUAUCUAUAACAUGUCUAUCAUGUGGAACAUAUGUCCACAGUGCCCUCCUCCGAGCCCUAUGAACUCAGGUGGUACGUAUUAUCUUAGAAUCCACUGCAUGAUUUUGCAAAUGUUUUUCAUGUUUUCCCCUAUGGUUUCAGGUUUCACAUAUUGCUAAUUUGUGCACCUUACAUUUAUUUGGGCUAACUUUGGUGCCUUUACAUUUUAUGAUGCAAUAUUACUAAUUCUGCUUGCUGCCCCUUUCUGAAUUAUGAUUUAUAAGUAGAAUCACCUUUUAGGGCUUCCCUCAUAGUAUCAUUCUGCUAUAUGAGGAGAGUACUUUCAUCUUUCCUCUGGCAUUUAAAGAAGUGUACUGAUACUUACAUAUUGGUGUAUUGGUAUUUGGAACAUUAUGUUUACAGGAAAUGACUCCUGAUGCUGAUAUCAUAUCCACGAGAUAUACAAAGAGUGUUAUCAAAUCUUGUGCUGCAAUGUCUUAUGUGGAAGCCCAGGCAAGAAUGGAUGACAGGUACCUUCUACAUUGCAAAUUCUCAGAACAUUACUGUACAUGAAAGUCAAACUCUUAAGUUGAUCUAAUAAGUCAAACAACAUCAGUGUAAUUUAUUGCUUUCCUUUCAUUUAUUUUUCAGCCGUUUAGUUGAUCCACUAACCGUAGACUUGCGGAACUUAAAUUCAUUGGCAAAGGUCAGCUAUUGUGUUUACUCUUAUCAUACUUUCUGUUACCAUCUAGUAAAUUUUUGUUUCAUUGCUUUAUGUAGAUCAUGCGACAACGACGUUGCGAAAGAGGGGCUCUGACUCUUGCUUCUGCAGAAGUAAAAUUUGAGAUCGAUAGUGAAACUCAUGAUCCUCUUGACAUAGGUAUGAAGUUCUGUAAAGCUUAUUGGUAUUAUAUUUCAGAAUUUGCACCCAUAAUGUACUUAGUUACAUCAAAUCCGUAGGAAUUUAUCAAAUCCGUGAGGCAAAUCAAAUGAUUGAAGAGUUUAUGUUGGCGGCAAAUAUUUCUGUUGCUGAGAAGAUUUUGAAGCACUUUCCCUUAUGUUCUUUGCUAAGGUACACAUUUGUCCGAUUUUUAUCAUCACAUCCAGACCAUGUUAAAAUUGCGCACAUCCAAUUUUCAAAAAAAGAAGAAUUGCGCACAUCCAAAGAUACCUUAACUUUUUUGAAAAGCCAUUGGAAAUAUCCACCCCACUGUGUCCAUAGAAACGAGCAGAUUUGGUGAAAGUCUGCCAUUUAUCACAUUCUUAUUUGUGACUCAUUUAUCUGCUUGCUGAUUUUACUGCUAAUCUGUUCUUUUUAAUAAAUAACUCUUCCAAUUCUGAGCAACUUUACCAGUUUUACUUACUGACCUUUUAUAAGCCUGCAAAUUUUCUUUCUGUUGGUAACAGGCGUCAUCCUAGCCCAACAAAGGAGAUGCUUGAGCCAUUACUCCGUACCGCCUCUUCUGUUGGCCUAAAUCUGGAUGUGUCAUCCUCAAAGGCAUUAGCUGAAUCACUUGACAAUGCAAAGGUGAAACUGAGAUUAUUUUAGUCUCUGGAUGCUUCACUCUAGAUGAUAACAGACUAUAUGUUAACCUUUUAUUACGGCAUGACAUGCAGAGAGAUGACCCAUACUUCAAUAAGCUUAUUAGAAUUCUGGCGACUAGAUGCAUGACACAGGUAAGAUAACUGAACUGAAGUCCCUAUUCUAAUUUACUGAUUCCAAAGAAUCCAUAUAACUCCCCUGUUGCAACACACAGGCUGUUUAUUUUUGCAGCGGAGAUUUGACCUUUUCUGAGUAUUACCAUUACGGGCUUGCAGCUUCUCUUUACACUCAUUUCACUUCUCCUAUUCGCAGAUACGCAGGUUUGUUUUCCAUCCAUAGAUGCUCUGAUGCAUGAAAAUAACAUUAGAUUUGAUAGGUUGAUUGUUAUCGGAAACCAGCCAUUCAAGACAUGUCAGCUAACCACUUAUAUUGCUAAUUCCUUUUGAUUGAACGUUGCUGCCCCCCUGCAUAUUAGCUGAAGCUCCACCAAAGCUCCGCCACUGUUGAUAGCAUGAAUAGCUUGCUGUUGAAUCUGCUUUUGUCUUAGUAUAAGAUGCGCCCUGGGACUGAAUCAGACUAAUCUAUCUUCUGCAUGAGUGUAUGACAUGGACAAUUUUGUAGCCUCGUGUGGAGUGCGGAGUGCCAUCACACAGCUGUGGUCUAGCACUUCUUCACAUGAAACCUAUGAUACUUGAUAGCAUAGUUGAUCAUGUAGUUUUUGGUUAUAGCCUGUAGAAGUGGUGCAAGACAUCAAAUUUAUACCCUUUUGUUGCAGAUGUUGUUGUUCAUAGGUUGCUAGCUGCGGCUCUAGAAAUUGCAAAGCUCCCACCAAUCUUUCAAGAUGGUCCUCAACUUACAGGCAUCGCUGACAGUAAGGAAUCAAAUCCAAUAGUUGAGCAUUUAUUUCUAUUUGAAUCCUGUUGUUUGGUACUGAUACUGCUAUCCUGCCAGACUUGAAUUACAGACACCGAAAUGCCCAGAUGGCAAGCAGAGCAUCAGUUGAACUCCACACCCUCAUAUAUUUCAGGACAAGGUACAGAAUCUGAUUGUAAAUUACAUAGGUUUGUGGUAGGUUAGAAGUGGAUUUUAUGGUAGGUUAGAAGUGGAUAAUAUGCGAAAUUGUGAUAAAGAUAGGGGCAAAAAGUAAUGACUUCAAGUCUGUUGAAGCCUUUAAGGAAUGUGUACAUAAUUGUUUUCUGAGUUCUGACUGCUGAACGCUUCACUGUGCAGGCCAACUGAUACUGAAGCUAGGAUAGUAAAGAUCAAGGCAAAUGGUUUCAUAGUCUUCGUCCCAAAGUAUGGUUCUUUCUCCCUCUCUCUCGCUCGUAUUUACCGGUGCUAUUUAUUCCAACCUUCACAGCAGUUGAACUCAAUGUUACGCAUUCAUCGUUUUACUCCUUUUUUUAAAAAAAAAUCAGGUUUGGCAUAGAAGGGCCCAUCUACCUUACUCCUAAAGGAGACAAGGGUGGCGACUGGGUUGUUGACGAGGUGCACCAGAGGGUAACCAAGCCCGGAACAAACAUCAGUUAUGCUGUCCUGCAGACUGUUAGGAUUCAUAUGGAAGUUGUUGAGCCUCAGCCCCACCGCCCAAAGCUGCAACUCACCCUCAUUUGAAAUGUGCAGCUUAACUGUAACAUUAGUAUUCCCAGCCCUUACACCUCUUUGUUCUCCUGCCCAUUCUUUAAUUCAACAUUGGCUAUUUACGAUUUGUAACAGUAGCAUCAUGGUCAGGGUCUUGCACUAUCAAAUCAGAAUAUGGAUAGUUUUCCUCUGUAUAUGGGAACUUAGUUUAUGAAUGGUACUCGCAGCUGUGAAUACAUCGCUAUAUUUUGUUAAUGUGAAAGAGCUGUUGUAUGUUCACGUGAAAGAAUUGUUAUGUAACGAUGCAUUCACUUACAUGGAAAGCAAACAUUAUUUUGCAUGGCCAAAUCAUGCUGAUGUUUACCAUUACUCCAAAAUUAAAUUGGCGACGGUACAUUUCCUGUUCCUAAUUUGUCUCUGUCAUCGUAUCUGCAUCAAGCUGGAUUCAAUACUGGUAGCUCACAGCACAAGCGACAUGAACACCGUCGACCAAAGCGUGAGAGCCAAGGCAGCAACCAGGUGCGUCCACAGGAAGAUGAUAGAGCACUCCUCUUCCCCAACGUCAAACAGCUGAGCUAUUGUGCCUGCGUCGGAGAAAGAAAUGGUUGUUCACCUGAGAGGCGGCACAUCUGCCCUCAGAUACAGAGCAUCUCUAAUACUGAUAACAGGAGCGGAAUUUGCAUUACCAAUGCUCAUGGCUGGAGGAACUGUGGACUGCAACAGGAGCACAUAGCGGUACAGGGGAGAUCUUGGUAGGAACCCAAGCUUGGUGGCUGCGGUGACGACGCCGAUGCCGCAGGCAGGGAGGACGAUGUAGCGUAUGACAAUGAUCGAUAUCACCACAAUAGGCUCGACCACCGUCUUGCCUAUCCCUGAUAGCCCAGCAUUGCAAGCGUAAACUUGGAAGGCAUAUGGAUGUCACAUGUCAUUUUGGGCUUAUGGCAGCGAGCAGUACCUUUUGUUAGGUUUCCACCGAGGAUCAGCACGGUGCAUGGAAUUGUAGCAUCUCUGUGGGAAAGUUUCAAUGGCAUCCAAAAUAAGCACGCGUUUUCUCCUUUGAUGCCAACAGUUUUUCAUCAAGAACAUUGGUAAAGUAAGUGAUGCUGACGGCUGAACCUACCCUAGUAAUGUGGUUGAAUCUUGGAUUACCCGAAGAGGGUAACCUUCUUCCGUAACAAGUGACUUCAUCUUGUCUAUUGUGCCAACAGUGAACCCCACGAGCUACCACAAUUGUGUUACCCAAUGAUAUCAGUUAUUUUUGAAUUACAAUGUUCAUUUCUGCACUAGCAUGAUAGUGGAACAAGUCAUACCGCAGCUAUACUUGGUGGUGACCACAGUUCUAUCAGUACUUCUACCAAUAAAUCCUUUGCCGCUCUCAAGUAGCGACUCAAGAAGCUAGCUCUAGCAUCAUUUGGAGGCAACGGGGAAAUAAUCUGGACCAAAUUGAAAAAAUAAUUAGAGUUUGUACAUCACUUAUGUCCAUAGAGCAAUGAAAUAUUUCACUUACGGAGUUGCCAACAUCGUCUGAAAAAAUUUCAGAAGUCGGUGGAACAAAAGCCACAUAAUCAUCAGUUGCACCUUGACCCAAAUGUUCUUUGCUCGUGUCAGUCCGAGCGUGAUGAUUCUUGCAUUUUGCCCUGUACAGUUUAGCGGAUCUCUUCAUGACACUGUAGCUGUGCGUCCAUAUGUAGAAAUUUCCGAGCUGCAUGAGGAACAGCUAACAUUCUGAAUCCAAGCUAACCGUUCCAGCCUUCCAUGCAUGGAGGUGAUGAAGAAACCAUGACCUUACCGCCAUUGAUAACGAGACAUAGGAGAGACCAAGAGAGUUGCAGGUAUUGGCGUCCCCAAAGGGAUUGUCCUCCUCGUUGCAAAUUGCUGGAACAAUCAUCAAAGGGAUAGUGCCCCAGUUACCUGAAAUUGAUCAGGCAAGCACGUAAAACCUGACAAGGAAAAUUCUAGAAAUCCUUUUGUUUAUCUGUGUCUGCUAUAUAUCUUGCCUGAUGAGCAACAAGCAAUGACGAGUCCCUGAAGAUGUUCUCCAGGUCUGAAGGCUUUGACAGACACCCAUCCUAGAACUGCUCCAAUCAGAAAUAUGAUGCCCAUGUUCACUGGCAUGAACCACCUUAACCCAUCAAGUUCAGCAACGACCAAUCAAAGCCCCAAACUAUUCAUCGAACUGCUGAGUAAAGGUAGUGGAAGUGGAUUCUAACCAAGAGAUGAUGUCCUUGAGCGUGACAGUGCUCGCCAAGCUAGAGAAGACGAGCGAUGGAACGAAGACAAUAUAAACAAUCUGCAGAUAACAUUCAGUUCGGUGUAUCGUCCAACUAAGGUACGGCGUGCUCGUUUGGCGUUACCUUAUUGAUGCUCCUUCGAGCAUCAGAUGUGAGAACGUUGAAACGAUUGGAUGCGAGAAGAGCUCCAAGCAAUCCUACGAGGAGGACCUGCAGAACCGGCAGCCAUGCCACGAUGAGCAGAGACCAGAACCUCAUCUUGGAAGCCUCAGAUUUUGCCUGCCAGAAACAUGCAGCAAACAUUCAGAACGCAUAGCCUUUUCAUAGCCUCCCUGAAAGAAACGCAGUAUGACACUAGAAGUGAAAAAAGUGGCGACGAUCAGAAAGGAAAUUUACCUGCCAGUGUUUGUGCUGUUCCAGUGAUAUUUGCAGGAAGAAAUGAAAUGAGUCAACGAUCCGAAUGCCUGCAACUUCAGGAUCAGGAGAGAGCUGAAAGAAGACAAAAUCUGCUGUUGCUGCGCCGCCGCUUAGUAGUGGGCUAGUGGCUGUAGCCACAGAAGAAACGGCGGGCGUUGCUCAACAGCCAUGACGCGUGAGGUCCCACGUGUCAAACUCAGCAAAUGCGGAGUGUGCGUGCCGAGAAUUGACAAGGCCUUCGCAUGUCAAAUUUUGUACAAUUCCUUUUUAUUGGCUCCAUGCUUGCGCAUGGGCCUAUGAGCCCAUUACGGCCUUUUUAACUUUAACAGCCCGUGUAUCCCAGCCCAGUUACAUACAAACGCAGCCCGUGCCGACGGACUUCGCCAUCGGCCAUCGCAUAGAGCAAAGUAGAGCUGUUCCGUUUUUUUUAAAAAAAUGACUCCCAAGUGUUGGAAGUUUGGAAGAACAUAUGUGAAUUCGAAAAUGAGAUCAUGCGAGAUCCAGUGCAACAUUUGAAUCUAGGAACACUUCGAUUUUUUUCUGUGCAGAUCAAGACUGUUCUUCACCCCUUGAAAGAACGGACUGUUGGAAUAUGUGAGCUUUUGGUCCAAUAUUUACAAUUAAAGAAUUAAAAAUCCACCAUUACAUGCUAGGGAUUAUUAUGUAAUUCCGUAACGAAAGAGAGAGAAUCUCAACUAUGAAGUGUUGUGGUGUGGGGCGGAUGUUUUGAACCAAGCAAUGAACAUUACGACUACGAUUCAUUCACAACGAUUCAUUCCUGUGAUUGAUUCUGCGCGAGUUAAUUACUAUUACUCUGUUUGAUGGCGUUGAUGGUGUCCAAGUGCAUCCUUUUGUCCCCAGACUCUCAUGUAUAUCAUCCGGUAUCUUCUUCUCUUUCAAACGCGCGAAAAUAUCUCUCUUCCUCCCUCUACUGCUUUCCUGCAUUCCCCAUCGCCGGUGCUGCGCGCACAUCUCCAGCUAGAGCAAUUACCUCCGGAACCAUUGUCCGCUGAAAGUCCCGCACGGGAUAGCGGAGCAAUCAGAUUUUUGGAGAGCGUCUUUACGCGACUGCUCGCCUAGAACCGUGACGUCUUCACCGGCGUACUGUUCACCAUCAGACCCUGCGCACCGACUCUCGACUUUGUUCGUCGACUGCGCCGUCCGUACUUCAACAACUCGUACGACUACUUCCUCGACAAUAUGAUCACUCGAUGCAUCGAUUGACUACUUUCUGUGGUUCAAUCGACUACUUUCUAGUGUAGGGUCGACUACUUCAAACAACUCGUACGACUAGUUUAACAACUCCUCGAUCGACUAUUUCAAACAACUCGUACAACUACUUCAAUAAUUGUGUGACUACUUCCUCAACUCUACGAUCACUCGGCUCUUUGAUCGACUACUUCAAACAACUAGAAAUCUACACUGCAUCGAGUUCGUUCGAUUACUUCAAACAGGUCAGUCGAGCAUGUAUGGUCCAGCUGGUAACGGUGCAUCUGGUGCCUGUGGCAAUGAACCCACCUCGGGGUAUAGUGUGAUACUCCUUUAUCUUGAUUAAAUUCAUGUUAAAUUUAAACAAGUGCACAUAUCUUAUUUCACUUAUCAUAGUCAUGAAAUUAUUAAUAAAUUGUACGUGUAAUUUUAGAAUUAAAAUGUGCCCGAAAAUAACUAUUUAUCUAGCACAGACACUGUCAACACCGAUUGUCCUUUGUAUGCUCAAGGUGAUGAUGUCUCCCGUUAGUAUUCUGAAGCGGCUGAUUCAGGUGAAUAACGCUAUCACAAACAAUUUGCACUUGGUGAGUAUAGCAAGAAUUGUUGUUUGGAUGCUCAAAUCUGACAUUUUUUGGCCACUAAAGCAUGGAAGCUCUGAAUCUGAAGUGGACUGGCAAAAAUAACAGGUAUGAAGUUGGUGAGACUUGCUCCGGAUAGAUGGUAAAGCCAACUUUUCAGGAGCGACGGGGAUCAAAUGAAAACAACAAGAGUAACUAAAGUGCGAAGAUAUAAUAUCUGGGCAAAACUGAAAACGCGGAUGAUCACUCUACUUGCUGAAAAUUUCAGAUGAUCGGUGUCGCUGAACUUGCAUCAGAUAGAUCGAAUCAGCAAAGCACUCUGAAUUCUCUAGUAUCUGUGCCGCGUCCCGUUUUUCCUAGUUCAUCAUCUCACUGUCAUCGAAUCGAAGUCUUUCUCGCACCGUUUUUUCCUGCCUUGAUCUCCAUAGGAUUGGGGCAGAGGAACUGAAAGGCCAGCCCUCUGGACUCUCUGCGUCACCAGCAUAUCUGAGUGGCUGAGUACCUGACCUACCGAUCCUGCAACAAACCAAGAACACAACCCACCAUUGACGUCGGGGACAUCACCGGCCAAGCCAGAACCAGGAGCGAGUGGCCUUGGCAUUGGGGGGCGGGGGUUCAGCUCCGCCGCGAGUUCUCACGGCCUAUACCCACGCGACCGGAAUCUUCGACGGGGACGGGGACCGGUCGUCGAGCCUCGAGCGCGCGACGUCCUGGGCGGCGGCGGACAGGAACGUGAGGCCGUCGCCUGGGGAGGAGAAAAGGGGAGUGUAUUGCAAAAAUCCGGAUCAAUAGUUUACACAUACACCCCUAUUUUGGAUCGCGGCUACUAAUCGCGAUCCAAUUUAGGGGUAUAUUGCAAAACCCUGGAUCGAUAUUUUACACAUACACCUCUAUGGUGGAUCGCGACUAUUAAUCGCGAUCCGAUCUAGGGGUAUAUUGCAAAAUGUCCCUCUAAAAUUUACAAAUGAGUCAUGUUCCCUCCUCCCGGCGAUCCGCCGGCGACGGCGGCCUCCGUCCAGCGCAAGCGCAAGAUCCAACCCAUCUGCCUCCAUGCCGGGCAGUCUCCGGGGGAGGAGAAAGGGGAGCCGCGCCCAGCACCGAGGCCGAAGCAGGGUGCCCGCCCGCAAAGGCGCUGUCGCGGCUGCCGUACCGCGUGGCGGUGAAUCCCGUGGGCGCGGCUGCGGCUGCGGAGGGGAGCGCGUGGCGGCGAAUACCGUGGAGGAGUGGAUGUGGCGGAGGGGAGCGUGGCGGGGAGUGACAGCACGUUGCCCGAAACGCGCUAUCGUCAUCGUUCCUGGAGAGCGCCGGGUCGCAGUGGAGCAGAGGCGGGAAGUGCCUGCUCGUGCCGUAUGGCUCCAACUUCAAGGCGAUGGGGAUCCCUGGCCCAGCCGUGACGAGCGCGAGCACGAGCAAGGACGAAAGGCCGGAGAGCUUCGGCGACGCCGCGACGGGAACGGCGGCGGCUGCAAGCACUGGAAAAGGUUGGCUGCAGCAGGGGCUGCCUCUCGCCGCCGCCCACCCGCCUGACAUCAUCGGCGCCACCACGCCCUCCUGCCCUCCACCUCGAGCUCCCCAAGCCCAAGGCGAACGACGUUCUGCUGCAACAGCUCUCGCGGCACUCGCUCGUCAGCUUUCUAGGCUUCGACCAUGAAGUAUCUGAACUCUGAACUCGAACAUCAGCAUAGGACUCUGAACUCCGAAGUAUCUGUGAAGCAUCCCAUUAAAUUGUUCAGUCUUCAUCUUCUCACCGUUAGUCUGUCAUGGAAAGGAAUCCUCCCCAACAUACCUUUAUUUCGUUGCCUUUUGAUCCGCACAAGAUUGGAACAGACGAACUGAACAUCAUCUCAACUCAGCAUGAGCAAUUCAGCAGCAUAUCUACUUCUACCUUACGAGUCCUGCAGCGCUACCACCUCCAUUUCUGAAAGAGGCGAGGCAAGGCACGGAGACUUGAACUGGCUCUCUACGCCUCGGCGGCGUUCAUCCGCGUCAGCCUGCAUGCCUGUCUGGCCGAACUCGAACACAGUCGAUCCUCCUCAUUCGCCGGCCAGGAUACAGGCGGAGGUGGCUGACCUUGGCGUUCGGGGCCGCGGCCUCCACUCAACCGCGAGCUCUCACGGUCAAGGCUGCUACCUCUGCAUCACCGGACCACUGGAAUUGCCGAGGGGAACAGCGAGCUGGAGAGCUCAAGGAAGAAGAAAACAGAAAAGCAUCUCGGUUCGUUAUUACUAGCCGCAAUCUUGGCCGCACAUCUCCCAUUCGACGGCUGUUUAGAGAAUCCAGGGUGGACCGUAUUUCAUUUGCCGUCCACCCGGACGGUAUCUGGAAUACCGUCCCCCCCGGGUUGGGAUGCCACUCGCCAGCCGCCCCAACCGGGCACUCGGUAGACAUUGUCGGCGCGACCACGCCUCCCUGGCCUCCACCUGGAGCUUCAAAGCCAUGGGUGAACAAUCCUCUGUAGGCUCGCUGGCUCUCGCUCGCCGGUUUGCUGGCUUGUUGCCCAACGACGCCGGCCCGACCGUGCCGCCGUGGACGCCGAGACGAUCGGCGACAUCAAGAAGAGACAAGUUUGGCCUUGGCGUCCAUCGUCACCGCCGCGACCACGCCAUUGCCGUCUGAAAUUCGCUCCAAGAAGAAGGCUAGAGGCACACCAAUCGGCAUCGGCGAGCGCUCCUCGGGCAUCUCUCGUCACCACCGGGCAUGCUGAUGCCGCCGCAAGCUGCCGCGCGCGGAGGCAGUCUCCGGCUCGCCAUUACGAGCGAGCUCAGCUCUCCCCAGCACCCAUUGUAUACGAAUUCCAAAGGAGGAUUUUUACGGCGCGUAGUACGAUCGUAUACUUACUGUCUACUUUUUGUACGUAAAUAUCGGACGAUCGAGAUUUUUCUAUACUCUGAAAUAGUAAGGUAGUAUAUUUAGAUAGUGUAAGAGUAAUAUGAGAAAAAUUAUUUUACUAUAAUGGUUCACUACUGAUACAGCGGUGUAAAAAUGUUGCAAUAUGUCAAAAAUAGUUACAAUAGAUAAAAUUGUAAAAAAUAUAAAAAAUAUCUUUAAUAUAACUACUAAUAUAACUAUUAAUAAUAAUCUUAUCCAUUCUAAUUCUAAUUCUAAUGGAUGAUUGAAUAUUUUCUAUACUACGUGCUAGCAAAUAGUAGCCCGCCGCCGCCACCCCCAGGCAAAACGAAAGCGAUGCCCAGCAGAAAAGGUGAAGUAGCAAUAAGUAACCUGCCAUUGACGUCACAAAUAUCUCGCACAUUGAAACUCGUGCGUUCACACGCAUGGAAUCAGUCAGAGCCCGCCGGCGUGGUCCUAACCGCCGCUGCUUCGCAGCCACUCAGCAUGCACGGUCAGCUGGCGACCACAGAUUGUUCUGUCGCCGUAGCUGGCCAGGACGCUGUCGCAUUUAUUCAGACUAUUCACAAUGGGAGUUUCAUAGGAUGUUUCAUAGCAUUAAUUAGCCUAUCACAUCAGCAAUUUGGAUGAUAUGGUACAUCAUUUAAGAAGUAAGAGUUUCAUGGAGUUUCAUGAGGAUGAAACUAUGUUAACCCAUUUCCAAGAACUUGGAAACCGUGUGAAACCUCCAUUGAGAGUGUUUUGUUUCAUUUUCAAACAAUUGAGUAAAUCCUAUUCGUUAUUUAUUUGCAGCAUUUAAAUAGUAUGUUGGCAUAUGAAAUAGUGAGAUGAAACUCUCUAUUGAGAGAGGGUGUUUCAUCCUUCUACAAAGUUGAUGUGGCAUUCUUGGAAAUAUAGACAUGAAACCCCCAUUGUGAUUAGCCUCAGGGAGUCACUUUUUUUACGGGAAUUCAGGGAGUCACUUGACUCGCUCGCCCGAUGAUCCUUACGUCCUGGCUGCACAAGUGUGUACUUGGUCGUCGCAGCGGCAAACCCAGCCAAGUGGAGGACCUCUUCACGCACACACGUACGGGUCCGUUCAGCUACAACGCCCUGUCGCGCUUACUCAUGAACGCACCGCACCAUACCCAUGGAAUCGGUCGACGGCUCGCCGGCCGGCGGCGUGGUCGUCCUGUCCAUGUCCGCUCGCUGCUUCACACGCACACAGUACCUGAGAUGCAUGGUGGCGGCGGCGGUGGCGAGCUCGCAGGGAGCAGGGACCAAGGGGAAGGGACGUCCAUCAUGAUGCUUUUGCGGCUGUGUGUAGUUCUUACGAAUCGCUGUGUCUCCCGCUCUCCCGUACUCCCAAUCAGCUCGACAUGCUUGAAAUAAAGUAACUCCCAAUAUGCAGUAUCUUCGUACUUGCAUGAAUGGGUUUUUUGCCCCAAUGCAAUUCGUGUGUCCGAAGUCUUCGUAAUUGCAGGCAGCAGAUUAUAUGUUCCUGCCCACAUUUUGUGUACCUUCUCUAUUAAUUGCAGCACCUUUUAUUACCUUUCAUUAUUGUAAAAUUACCACUUUACAUUUUUUAGAGCUUCCUCAUUACUUUGCUUGGUGCAUCUUUGUUUUUGGGGCUACCAAGCUAAUUGGGGAAGUGCUGCUGCUGUAGAGACAAUAUGAUCCACUGAAUGGAUCCAUUGAGAAGAUUAAUAAGGCACUCUGAAAUGGUAAGAAUCUCUUAUUGUUUAAAUAAAUGUGCUGCUUCCGACUUGGGUUGUUUCAUAUACUAAACACAGUAAAAUGGUACAUAAGAAUAAAAUAUUUAUGCCACCACUUUUUUUUGUCUCAUAUAGAUUUGAAUUAGAGGCUGCUAAUUUUACCUUAGGUUCCAGUUCCAUGUUAAUCAUAGCAAGCAACCCCUGUUAAAAAAAUAAGAUAGGAAACAAUAUAGCCUUUCUGAAAAAAUCUCGCUGCAAAGAUUUGCUGUUCAUUUCUUCAAUCUUCUGUGAUAUAGCAUUACUCAAAUAUUAAUUGCUUUCAAUCUUAAAGGUCUUCUUGCAUCAUCAUACAUUCUGGGCCACCUUAUCUGCAUAAAUGCAUAGUUGCUUACAAUAUAGCCAAAAAAAAAAUUAAAAGAUCUAUCCACCUCUACGGGUCCAUACCCCAAAGUAUAUAUGUCAAAAUAUGCAUGCAAUGCAUUAACAUCUACUUUUACCUUUGCUUCUACAGGGUACUAAAUGUUGACCUGAGCUGGUACAAAAUUUUCUUUUGCUCUACACAGCCCAAAUGUUUCACAAUUAAUGAGCCCAGCCAUAAAUGUGAACAUAGUUUAAAAUUCCUCAAUGUCAGACUGCAGUUUAUUUUCGUUUUGUAUUUUAUUGUUCUGAUUGAUUAUCAAAGAGAAAGAACAUCCUUUCACGCUUCUUUCUGACCUUUGCAUCAUAUUUAUGUUCACAGAAAUGGAACCAUGGUGUGUCAUGUUGUCAGCAUUUAUUCAUAUAUAUUGCUGCAUAGCUGCACACAAGUUAUGUUUAUUACUGCCAUUCUGAACUCUUAACACGCAUAACAUGUUUCAAGGGUCUUUAAUUUAGUCCUAUUGGUUUCUGCCAAUAGGUAUAUGGUUUCCAUGAACAGAAAGGAUGCAGCUGAAAUUUGAUGCUCCUAUUAAAUGUUUUUCUUUUAAAUUUUAUACUGCCAAACUAUUUUGCUUUUGUUUUGCCGAGGAGGAAGUGCUGCCAUCAAGAUCAUAUAUUGUUAUGUGCUAUCGUUGCUUGUGUACAUUUUGGACUUCAGGUUAGAGCAUUAACAAUUAGAAUUUCUGACUGCUGGUCAGAGCCGUGUAGUAUUAACAGGGGUACCUAUUGUUCUUGGAGUAUUAGGAGGCAUUGGACUUUUCUCUUUGUGCUUUUAACUGCUACUAAGUAUGGAUUUGUUCCAAAAAUAAUCUCAUAGCCUACACCUGAACUGUUGCUCUUUAGAGUUUAGGGUUUAGGGCUUCAAACAUAUUGUAGCUAGAAAAAUAUGACAAUAAGUGACCUGCAUUGUUAAGAUGAAUUCUGGCAAACAAAGCUCAAUCCUUACCUUGGCUUUUGGUUUUUUUAGAACUUUUUUUCUUACCAUUUUGUUCAGGGGUUCAGUAGAAUACAUAAUUACAUGUUGUAGUCUUCCGAAAUACUAGAGAGUUUACAUGAUAAUUGGAUAGGCUUCCCAAGAUGGAAUAUAUUUCACUUAUGUAAGAGCUGAUCGUCAGAGCUACAUAAUAUGACCAGUUUAUGGUAGGAUACCUUGAGGUCUCUAUUAUUCUAUUUUCUGAGUAAUUGUUCCUCCCAAUUUGAUAGCCAUACAUAUUUUUGCCGUCCAUUUUUUACAACCUUCCUUGAGGUCUGUUGUUCGAGCAGAGAAGGAUAUGUUGGUACUGGUUCUAUUAGCAUUUGAAAUGAAAGGGUAACCUUGCUUCGAUCUUGCAAAUCAAUCCAACUGUUAUGGUGCUGAAUUGGAUGUUAGGAUUGGCUGGAUGGUUGUCUGACGUUACCUGGAGGCUGGAUCUCAAUUGGAUUCGUUCAAUUGGGUUCUGGAUGUCAGUCCAAUCCCAGGCAUCGUGCGGCACACUGUCUGGCGACCGGACACUGGAGAAAACCCUUCGCCGGCGGCCGCAUCGCAUUUAGUUACCGGUCAGUUUCGUGGUGGCAACUGUUUCCUUCACCGAGACACUAACGGACUUGCGCCAGUCCACUCGUUCUGCUUCAACGACGCACCUUCCUUAUCUCCAGCCUGCUGCACUGAGCCGGGUCAGUAGUCACCGGCGAUGUGAGACGUUGUAACUGACCGGCCACUCGAAAACGUUAUCCGGCUACCGUUAGGUCCUUGUCCUGCUACUGCUAUUUUUUUCUCAGCUGCGUAGUACGCGCCAGGCGUGGAUUUGUCUACCCCAUGAGGCCAUGAGCGCUUACAAUACAAGGGUCUCAUCAUCUGUCGCCGUCGCCUCGCCGUACCUCCCCAACAGACAGAAGACAACUUCGCCUCUCUUUUUUUUUUAUACCCCGUCUACGUUGGCGUCCUGGCGCUUGCUAUUCUCACGUUAGUUUUUGUCUCGCUAGCUGGUACUACUCCUAGCUGCGACCGGAAAUUAAGCGGCAUGGGGCCCCCGUGUACCGGCCGGCCGGCCGGCCGAGCACUCGCUAGAAAAGCUCGCGCUCUCGGCCAGGCCAGGCCAGGCAACCAAGCCAAUAGCCAACCACCCCGCUUCGCGCCGCCCCGAGCCCAACCGGCCGCUACAGGACAUUGUAUCCUCCGGUGCUCCCGAGCCAAGAUCGCGUGGCCGAGACCAGUCACUCCCUGACUCCCAUCACCGGGCUCGCUGGCCGGCCGGCCACGCGCUUUGACGCGGCCGCCAGGGAGCGGCGCUGAUAAAAACGCCGCGCCCCCGUGCCUGCAGCGACCACCACUCGGUUGCUCUGCUCUGCUCGCUCGCCACGAGGCUUUGCCUUUUGCGUGCGUUCACCACCGGGACGAGGCGGCCGUGCGUGCGUGAGGCUUGCGCGCGCGUGCCCCAGGCCACAGCUCGUCUCGAGCUGCUGGAGCCCCCGGUGAUUGGUGGUUUGCUCCGGAACAGGAAGCUAGCUGGGAGAAGAUGGCGGGGGGCGGGGGCGGGAGGGACCUGCCGUUGACGCCGACGUGGGCGGUGGCGCUGGUGUGCGCCGUCAUCGUGCUCAUCUCCGUCGCCAUGGAGCACGGCCUCCACAGGCUCGGACACGUACGUCCCCAGCACUGCCUGCUCAUCCAUCGUUCGCUGAGCUUGAUUUUGAGUGUCUGACUGUUGCCCCCCUGGUUCAUGCAGUGGUUCCACACGCGGCAGAAGAAGGCCAUGCGGGAGGCGCUCGAGAAGAUCAAAGCAGGUGGGGCUGCUCCAUCAACGCCUCCUUUAUUGCCCUGUUGCGCAUGAUUUAAUAGCCCUUACCGAAAUUCGUUAUAUUCUCCCCGUCCAAAUCUGACUUCAGAAAGAGUAGCUGUGCAUAAACAAAGACCUUACAACAUCUUCAAUAGGAGUUCUAAAUUGGAUCCUAUCUUGAAAUAUAGGGUUUAAGAGAAAAAAAUAGCCUCCAACAGGAGUCCUAUUUUACAAAAAAAAACUGUCAAAUCAAUUUAGGACUCAGUCUCCCGGGUCCUAGAUAUAGGACUCAAUUGGUUGGGUCCUAUCUCUCUUUUGCCACGAAAUCUAACUGACAGAGAUUUCUUUCCCCAAUGACUCCGCUCCAAUCUUUCCCCAAUUAGUUGUAAAUGACAUGAUUUGAGACCCACUAUUGGAGUGUAAGCUUUUUCUUUACCCUAAACACAUCAAAUAUGUCACUAAUACAAAUUAUAGGACCCAAAUAUAGGACUCAUGGUUGGAGAUGCUCUAAAGUUCAAAAAAAAAUUCAGUUAAUCAAAGCACAUGAACUCGAUUUAGUUCUCGUGCUGGAAUCUUUGAUAAGCUCUUGCUGAUUCUUUUUUUUUCUUUCUUUGAUCGCCUGCAGAGCUGAUGCUGAUGGGCUUCAUCUCCCUGCUCCUCGCCGUGGCGCAAACGCCCAUCCCCAAGAUAUGCAUCCCUGCCAAGGCUGGCAGCGUCAUGCUGCCGUGCAAACCCAAGGGCGGCGGCAAAAGCGGCGGCGGCGAUGGCCACCGGAGGCUCCUCUGGUACCCUGGAGAAGAAGUCAACCAUCGCCGGUUCUUGGCCGGCGGCGGGGCUGGUGACGACUUUUGCGACACAAAAGUGAGGCCAGCGUUGCAAAGCAACAAGCUGCCCAGAGCGAUGAUGAUGAUGAUGGAAGUCAUGAAAUCAAUAACCUUUCUUCUUCUGCUUGUUAUCCGCAGGGCAAGGUGUCACUGAUCUCCACGAACGGCGUCCACCAGCUGCACAUAUUCAUCUUCGUGCUCGCGGUGUUCCAUGUCGUUUACAGCGUCGCCACGAUGACUCUAGCACGUCUGAAAGUAAGCACAAGCCAACCAUCGAUAUGAUGUUGAAUGCUACUAGUACUUCAGUUUGCCCAAUUCUUUCAGGGGAAAAAAGAAGAAGAACAUCUUUGAGCAACCAUUCGAUUACUCCGUUACAGUCAGAAUAGGCACUUACUACGUUGCAGUUAGGGGAUACUAAUCACACAUCGUUUGUCAUGUUCUUGCGUGUAGAUGAGGAGAUGGAAGAAAUGGGAAUCAGAGACCAACUCGCUGGAGUAUCAGUUCGCAACCGGUAAGAAUCAGCAGCUCCGUUUUCUCAACCGAUUGCAUGUUCCUCUCGAGGCAUGCAUGAUCAGAGUGAAGCUUACUUACAGGUGAUGAGGUUCUUGCAUGCAGAUCCUUCACGAUUCCGGUUCACACACCAAACGUCGUUCGUGAAGCGGCACCUGGGCCUCCCGAGCACACCUGGAGUCAGAUGGAUCGUGAGUUCGACCAGGCCUCUGAGCUCCAGAUCUUUAGUUAGUUCUUGCAGCCAGUUUCAGCGUUUCUCACUGACCUACGCUCUCUGAAUAUUCUAUAUCCCAGGUGGCAUUCUUCAGGCAGUUCUUUGCUUCGGUGACCAAGGUGGAUUACCUGACCAUGCGCCAAGGCUUCAUCAACGUACUGACCGUCCCCCAGUUGCAAUUGCUUUUGACGCUAGAGUUAGUUGCUCAUGUUCCAUCAUGACGAUGAUUUCUUAUAUGCAGGCUCAUCUGUCGCCCAAUGCUAAGUUCGAUUUCCAAAAGUACAUCAAGCGGUCGUUGGAGGACGACUUCAAAGUCGUCGUUGGCAUCAGGUCCGUCCGUUUAGUUUUUUCAGUUAACAGUUUGCACGUCAUGAGCUUCGUCCUAUGGGCUAUGGCUGACCUUGACACAUUUGGCUGGUUCUUGCAGCCUGCCGCUAUGGUUUGUCGCCAUCUUCAUACUCUUCAUCGAUAUCCAAGGUAAAGCCUUGUCCCAUCUCAUUCCUAGCUGCUAGACCACAGGCUCUGGGCUUGUCUUGUAAUCACCAUCCCUUUUUGUAAAAUGCUCUGCUCCUGUGCGCAGGACUCGGCACGCUUAUUUGGAUCUCUUUCGUCCCACUCGUUGUAAGUGUUCGUUCCUUCCUCUCUGUUUUUCCUUUUAGGAAAAUAAAAUGCCUUCCUCUCUCUUGACAGAAACAAGUUAAAGAGCCAAUUGAAAUUGUCCUUAAGUACAAACAAAUUUGUCGUUGUCUCAGAUCCUCUUGUUAGUUGGAACCAAGCUAGAGAUUGUCAUCAUGGAGAUGGCCAAGGAAAUACAGGACAAGGCGACUGUGAUCAAGGGGGCACCUAUCGUGGAGCCAAGCGACAGGUUCUUCUGGUUCAACCGGCCUGAGUGGGUCCUGUUUCUCAUACACCUGACGCUCUUCCAGAAUGCAUUCCAGAUGGCGCAUUUCGUUUGGACAUUGGUAGGUUCUCAAGGUGUUCCUUCAUCCAUUCACUACAGGCUACAGCAUGGCCUUGAAAAGGCUAAUUUCUUUUGGUUGUUGCUUGCGCAGCUCACCCCAGGCUUGAAAGAUUGCUACCACGAAAAUCUGGGACUGAGCAUCAUGAAAGUUGCAGUGGGGCUGGCUCUUCAGGUCCUCUGCAGCUACAUCACCUUCCCUUUAUAUGCACUCGUCACACAGGUAAAUUUUUUAAAAAUAAUCAUCUGUAAAAUCUACAUGAAGUCUUUUGAAAGAAACACAUGAGUUUAGGAUCACAUCCAACUGCAACCUCGUGCGUGCAGAUGGGCUCGCACAUGAAGAAGACCAUCUUCGAGGAGCAGACGGCGAAGGCGGUGAUGAAAUGGCGCAAGGCGGCCAAGGACAAGGUGAAGCAGCGGGAGGCAGGCUUCGACGGGUUGAUGAGCGCGGACACGACGCCGAGCCAGAGCCGGGCGACGUCGCCGAGCCGCGCCAACUCGCCGGUGCAGCUGCUGCACAAGUACAGGGGGAGGUCGGAUGAUCCCCAGAGCGCCCCGACCUCGCCGGGGCGAGGACAGGAGCUCGAGGACAUGUACCCGGUGGCCGACCAGUACCGGCUGCACAGGCUAGACCCUGAGAGGAGGCGGACGGCCUCGUCCACCGCCGUGGACAUUGAUAUCGCCGAUGCUGAUUUUUCGUUCAGCGUCCAGCGGUGAUGCAACAGAUUUGUGUAGCAUGUUUUGUCUUUUCUUUUGUAUAGCAAAGCAUAGGAGGGGAUACUACUGACACGUUAGGCAAGUUUCGUUUAUUCAAAAACAAUAUGUAAUAAUGGAUGCAGAGAGCAUCACAACAUCUAAGCACAUGAACUUCGGACUUCUCUAUAGAAAAAGCUAACACCAACUGUUAUCAUUACAAUCAUGAAAAUAAUGUACAGCAGCAAAAAGGGCUAGCUGAAGGAGCUAACAAUGCGAAACUCGAUGAAGCUAUUGAAAGCCAUCGGUACUCACACUAUAACAAGAAAGCUAAUAAAAAAAAUACAUUGCUUCGUGGGAAGAACAGUCGUACACUACAGGAAUCUGGAUUAGUCGUAUCCAACCAGGAAAUAAGAGAGAUAAAAAAAAAAGUAUGGCAGCACUCAUCAUCCGCAGGCUAGUCAGCUUUUGCACGGACCCUUCUCUUGUGAACAGCUAUUAGGACCGGUGACACUGCCAUUCCAACCAAAUGCCCAGCGACUGCCCCAUAAGUGACACAGAUUGGCCAUUCCUGAGAAAGAUCAAAGAAACAGAAUAACGAUAAAUACUUCACUGAAAGUAAGAUCUAUGAUCAAGUGUAGGAGAUAAAAAAGGCAUCGAGAUAUUGAAUAACUCAAAAGCAGAAACGCAACAGCACGUCAAACGAACCAAUGAAUUUCAGGCUGCAGCUCUCAAAAAUUCAGUCACGAAAUGGGGAUCAUAAAUCACCCAAUACUCAUGGGAAUAUAUGAAUUGGAGAAGGUACUGCUCAUAUUUUAAUGUCUGUAGCCAUGCUUGUGAGCACAAUUGUUUACUCCAGGUAAUAGCCAUGAGUACCUCAUGUUAACUACUGAAUGUGUGCAAACAUAUCUGUAUGAUCCAGCACUCCCAUGCCUAGGAAUUGGCAACACAGCGCUAGAGAUUCAAAGAUGGUAUCUUUACCUGCCAAGGUCUCUCCCAGUC
rnacentral:lncRNA from 1 species